AAUUAAAGCACAACCGUCUUUCUAUUGCUUUUGUCUUUACAAGUGUGUCCCUGAUGCCAUGUUGUCCAAGAUCAACAUUUUGUAGCUUCCUUAUAUAUGGCUUGCUCUCUUUCCACCAUCAUGAAACUUAAUUUGAUUUAUAUUCUGCAGGAGCUUAUUCUUAUUCUCCAUUGCUUCUAAUUUAAGUUCUGUUCUGCCUUGCUGGCCUUGAAUUUAUAUUUUCAAAUAAAAAUUUUGUGCUAAGAUUCUUUGCAUUACCUCAUUCAGGUCAUGGGAUCCAAGAAAUUAUGCAUUCAUGUUGUAGAAUCUGAAAUAGAUUGGUGAGGUUUCGCCUCACACUUGAGAACCUAUAUUAAAUACAUGAAUCCUCUUCUCUCCCUGGUUCAGAUCAAAUGUGGAGAUCAUUCGUUUUCCGCUAUGACUACUAUUUUCACCUCACAAAUGGUCUUUCCUUUUGUUGAUGUCUCGCCUCCUGUGUACUGAUAGAGGCAUAGAAAUAUGCAUGUCUUGGAUGAGAGAAAUAUGAUUGUCCAUGUAUUUUGUAUCUUGCACUUACCUCUUGCGAUUAGUUUCCCUAAAUAUAAAAGAUACGGUUUUCAGUCAUAUUGGUUUUUCGUCCUUUUUGGUAAAAGAUUCAAAGUGUGUGUAUAAUCAUUUAUAGUAGAUAGGAUAGUGCAUUCACUGAAAAUUUGUGAAAGCGUAAGUUAUCUUACUCAGGCUUGUGCUUUUGGAUUGCAGUUCAAAUUUCACCUCGGGUUGUAACAGAGAAGACCAUUGUCGAGACAUAUUUAGAGGUGGUGAAGUUGUGGGGCUUAUUUUGCUUUUUUGAUUACAUGACUAAAAUAGUGUGUAGUUUUUUUGGAAUAGCUAAUGAGUUCUCACUUUAAUUGUUCCCUGGAACACCAUUUUUAUUGGACUCAUCGGUUGGUCCACAAUGAUAGUCAAUUGUUUUAUGAUUUCCCAUUGUAGUAGGUAGAUGUUAUGUUUUUUUUCUUAUAGUUUCCCCUUCGAUUCUCAAUCUGGUCGCUGUUGAGGGUUAUGUACCUAUAUGUAUAUGUCGGGAUUCAGAUACAUGUGCUUGAUUAAUUCAUUUAUUUAUUUCCUUGGUCCUUUUGGUGUUGCCAUUGAAUUAAGGAGUAGUAAGACACAAGACGGUGCUUAAUUCUACCCUUAAAACCACAUUGUAAAUAUCUAUCGCCUGCUGGCCUACUACUGUAAAUGGUUUGUACAGUUUGUUUUCCAAUGGAUUUAGUUACAUGAUGUUGGAUUAGAUGGCUGCCAUUAUGCAGCUCAUUUUCAGUGCCUCAGGUGAUGUUCUAUAUAAAAUGGCGUAAAAUGUGAAAUUGGGAAAUACUUUUGAUAUACUUUUGUAACACGGUGUUAAUCCAUUUUUGGUUUGUACAUAGUUCUAUUGGUUCGUCUCUAAUUGUCCUGGCAGUAUAAGAGUUCUGGUUUUCCAGAGGCUAGAACUUUGAUGGAUAGUUCUUAGUGUGAUUCUAUGGAUACAGAGCCCAGGUAAAUCACUUCUCAUUGCCUGUUUUGUCGGUAUCGAUCGUCUAUUAUCUGUACAAGAUUUGAUCGAAUGGUUCUGAUGCCACAAAGUGACCGUGCUUUGUUAGUACGUAUGUGAAUACUUAUGCUUUAUUCAAGACACAUUCAGUUUCUUUUUCCUUUGCAAAUAAACUGUAGAUGUAGCGUUGGCCUGAGCCCCUAAAUUGUCGUAUGCUAUUUCCUGCCUGGAUGAUGAUGUUGAAGGAAUUUCUGCUGUGAACAAUGAAAACAUUCAACCACAACCACUAUGAACAAUUGCCUGAACAAGUUUUCAGCGCCGAUGAUCCACCAAUCACACUGACGAAAGUUCAUCACUUCAAAACGCCUAUGAGAUCUAUAUCUCCCUAUCUACCUUCCUUUCUAAUAGCAUUGUAAAUAUUCUAUCGUAAGCUUCUUAGAACACUAUGUGUCAUGAAUAAUCCAUGUGUUCCAAUCUGCACCUAAAUAUAUUUAUGUUCGCUCUUUCAGUACUUGCCUUACUCUCGCCCCUUGCGCCAUCGGCGCAACGGGUCAUCUAGUUUAAAAGAAACCACAAUGUCUUCGGAACUACAAGCCACGCACAGCAGUCUUACUACUAAUAUAAAACAUUCGACAACACUAUUGUGAGGGUAGAAGCCAUCCCUCCCUCCCUCCCUCCCAGCAGUUCAAAUCAAACAGCCUACACCUAACAUAGACGCCAGGGCAAACCCGAAAACCCAAACUCUGGUAUUAUUAUUACAGGCCCAAAAGAUAAAGCGAGAGGAGAAGAGAGACCUUCAGAAACAUCUUCAUCAUGUUUGGCUUCAAGGAGCAGUCAGUCUUGGCACUCCCGUUCUCCAACCAUGUGCAGCUUUGAAAAAUCUCCCGCGACACCCGCUCAACCUGCCUUACGCCCGCCGUCAUGCACCUUAUUUUUCUUUUGUUUUUCUACAGCACACACCAAUCAUGUAAGUUUCUAAUAAUUAAAAAAACUUACAGUGUUGCCGAGGUCGCUUUUAAUAUUCACAAUUUUGCUACUAGUCCAGAUUUUAGGCACGCGGUGGCUUUCGAGUACAAACAGUGUUGCCGUCAAGCCCUCUUGGUUCAUAGCUUGACAGGUUGUGAAUAUUAUAUCAUAGGAACAUAAAACUUGUAAGAGUUGAGAUGUCAUGUAUCUCAAAUUCUAUAAAUAUGAAUAGAAAGAGAGAUGUUCUUUGGUUCACAUCAUAUAAUUGUUUUCACUGAAUCUAGGUUAAUAUUUAUUUUUCUAUGAAAUAUAGAAGAUAGAUCCUCCCAUAGGAAUAGGAUUCUAUUCCUACAAACCAAACGACUCUAGAAGAUUUUUUUUCUAUAGAAAUCCUAUCUACAAAAUUUCUCCAAACCAAAUGAGGCAUGUAUGUUUUCAUUUGCUACUUGUUGUAUUGUAUGCAUUUCACUUCCCCGCUUAGUGGAAACGGAUUUGAUAAAUCUCAUCUAGAUGAGAUUUAACUAUGUCACAUCUAAGUCCACCGCUGUAGGAUCAAACUUAUUGUAAGAUUGGUGCAACAUCGCUCGUUUAUUUUUCUGAGUUGUCGCUCAUGCUGUUAUCCACUGCUUUCAUUUCUCGAUCUUGUGUGUUACGUUGUUUUUCUUGGGCCAGACCCAAUAACAAUUUUGUUUUUGCAUUUUUGUCUGUGCAUUUUUGUUGGCUGGGUUGCCUGUGUGUUUUUCAUUCUCUCAAUGUUUUCUUUUUUGUUUUGAUUUUCUAUACACAAAAGUUUAAAUAGAAUGAAUCCAGUGAUUAAAUUUUGUCAGAAUAGUAUGGGUAUUUUCUUGUUUAUUUAUUCCAGUGGAGUGAAUGCGCAUGUUUUUUUUUGUUCUUCUCCUUUUCAUUUUUGACGUUUCCAUUUUAGAUUCAUGAUAUUUUUAAUACAUGAACACUUUUUGAAGUGUGCAAAACACUUAUUAAAAUUCAUGAUUUUUAAUUUGAGCACUUAUUUGAAUUUUUGAAAAAAUAAUUAAAAAAUAAUGAACAUUUAAAAAAGUAUUUUAAUACAUCUCAAAUCGGAUUUGCUAAAUCUUAUUUAGAUGAGAUUCUAACAAUGUCUUAUCUAAGUUGUGGUUCGUCCGAUCUAUUUGUUGUAAUCUUUGUGCAAACUUGACCCCGCUUCAUUUUUGCCGCAUACGCCACGCGUGGUCAUGUUGGCUAGUUUGUCGGCAUGUUUCUAUUAGGCCCUUUUUUUUGUUCAACGUCUAUUGUGUUUUUUCUGGCCAUUUUCAUUAGUUUUUUUGUCGUUUGAAUUGGUCUGCUUUAUAGAAGGAGAAAAGACAAGGUUCACUACCUCUUUUAUCACCCUUCAUUCUGCUACUGCUUUGCCUCUCCUCAUUCAUCCUCUCUUUAUUUUACAUUUGUCUUCCACUAUAUGCGACACCCUUCUUUGUGUGACCCUCUUUUCUAGCCCCCGUUGUGACUCCAUCCUCAAUUUACAACUGGGAUCAAUCCUUUUUUUUGCCUCAGUUGCAAGUCCACUAUUAACUUGCAGCAGGGCCCAGCCUUUUUUUAUCCAGUUGCAAGUCUAUCCUCGACUCACAACUAGGCUCGGUGUUUCUUUUGUAUCAUAAUUUGGCCCGAGACAUUUUCUUUGCAUUAGUUGCAAGUUGAGGUGGACUUACAACUAGGACUGACUCUUUUUCCGCCAUAGUUGCAAGUCCACCAUCGAGUCGCAACCAGGGCUCACUUUGUUUUCCUAGUUUUAAGUCAACCAUGGACUCACAACUAUGCUUGCUCCUUUUUUAUCCAAGUUGCAAAUUGAUUAUCGACUCACAAUUGGGAUCCUGAUCCUUUUUCCGCCCUAGUUGCAAGUUCACCCUGUCGGUGCUAAAAUCGGCAGGUCUGAGGGUAGGGGGUGCUAACCUGGUGAUCUGGGCACAAUGGUAACAAGAAGUAAAAGGGACACAAUUUUACCCAGGUCCGGGCCCUCUCAAAGAGGUAAAACCACACGUCCUACUUAUACUUCCUCGCUGCUUGCUAUUCAUUACAUCAACAACUAUUGUUCUCUUGAAUGGUCAACCUUCCUACCACAAACAUGAUACGAAAAUGAUGUUUUUGCAAAUGGAUUGAGUGUAGUAAUAUUUUACUAAAUUCUAAAAUGAAUUAUGAGGAUAAACACAGUGAUAAAUAUGCAAGGCGAGUAAAGUAAUUUUUACUAUGUCCCCAGCGCAUAUGUAAACCUCAUUAUCAGCGUCAAGGCUGUAGUAUUUCUUGCAACGGGUUGCAAAAGUAUGUAGCCGAACUUGUAUCCUUAUGAUGAAGUUUUAGUCACAACUAGAUGACCCGUUGCGCUCUUGGCGCAAAGGCCAACUACAACCAGAAAGUUAAGCAAGUUAUGGAAAGCACAUAAUAAAUAAUAAAUAUUUACUUUAUGAAUUAUCCCCAAAGGACGUUAACACCAAUAAGAAUACAUACGGGAACACCAAGAAGUAACGGAGAAACUAACAAACAGAGGCAACUACCCCUGAAUCAUGACAAGUGCUUGUUCAUAGUGGUCACACUUAAACAUGGCCACGUUGAAGGAAAGGUCAGGUGUGAAUGUUUGUUCGGGUGGCCAGGGAGAGCAGUGCAGAGCAACAACGCGAUAAACGUCGACAUCGCUCCAUCGAGGAGCGUCCCUUCACGCCGAGUUCGCUACACAUAUGGACCCGAUACAAUCGUGAAAUAGGCUAGGUCUGAGCCUUCUCAACUGCAAGUCUUUAUUUUGAAGGAAAUAUGCCCUAGAGGCAAUAAUAAAGUUAUUAUUUAUUUCCUCAUAUCAUGAAAAAUGUUUAUUAUUCAUACUAGAAUUGUAUUAACCGGAAACAUAAUACAUGUGUGAAUAUAUAGACAAACAUAGUGUCACUAGUAUGCUUCUACUUGACUAGCUCAUUGAUCAAAGAUGGUUGAGUUUCCUAACCAUAGAUAUGAGUUAUCAUUUGAUCAAUGGGAUCACAUCAUUAGAAGAAUGAUGUGAUUGACUUGACCCAUUCCGUUAGCUUAGCACUUGAUCGUUUAGUAUGUUGCUAUUGCUUUCUUCAUGACUUAUGCAUGUUCCUAUGACUAUGAGAUUAUGUAACUCCCGCUUACCAGAGGAACACUUUGUGCACUACCAAACGUCACAACGUAACUGGGUGAUUAUAAAGGUGCUCUACAGGUGUCUCCAAAGGUACUUGUUGAGUUGACGCAUUUCGAGAUUAGGAUUUGUCACUCCGAUUGUCGGAGAGGUAUCUCUGGGCCCUCUCGGUAAUGCACAUCACUAUAAGCCUUGCAAGCAAUGUAGCUAAUGAGUUAGUUGCGGGAUGAUGCAUUAUGUAACGAGUAAAGAGACUUGCCGGUAACGAGAUUGAACUAGGUAUUGAGAUACCGAUGAUCGAAUCUCAGGCAAGUAACAUACCGAUGACAAAUGGAACAACGUAUGUAGUUAUGCGUUUGACCGAUAAAGAUCUUCGUAGAAUAUGUGGGAACCAAUAUGAGCAUCCAGGUUCCACUAUUGGUUAUUGACCAGAGACGUGUCUCGGUCAUAUCUACAUAGUUCUCGAACCUGUAGGGUCUGCACGCUUAAAGUUUGGAGACGAUCGGUAUUAUGAGUUUUUGUGUUUUGAUGUACCGAAGGUAGUUCGGAGUCCCGGAUAUGAUCACGGACAUGACAAGGAGUCUCGAAAUGGUCGAGACAUAAAGAUUGAUAUAUUGGAUGACUAUGUUCGGACACCGGAAGUGUUUCGGGAGGUUUCAGACAUUUACCGGAAUACCGGGGGGUUACCGGACCCCCCCGGGGAGUAUAUUGGGCCUAAUGGGCAUUGGUGGGAGAAGAGGAGGGGCGGCCAGGGCAGCUGCGCCCCCCUCCCCGUCUAGUCCAAAUUGGACAAGGAGGGGGGCAGCGCCCCCCUUCUUUCCUUCUCCUCCUCUCCCCCUUCCUUCCCUUCUCCUACUCCAACAAGGAAAGGUGGAGUCCUACUCCCGGUGGGAGUAGGACUCCCCCUUGGCGUGCCCUCCUCCUGGCCGGUCGCCUUCCCCCCUUGCUCCUUUAUAUACGGGGGCAGGGGGCACCUCUAGACACACAAGUUCAUCUGUUGAUCUCUCCCAGCCGUGUGCGGUGCCCCCCUCCACCAUAUUCCACCUCGGUAAUAUUGUAGCGGUGCUUAGGCGAAGCCCUGCGUCAGUAGCAUCAUCAACACCGACAUCACGCCGUCGUGCUGACGGUACUCUCCCACAAAGCUCUUCUGGAUCGGAGUUCGUGGGGCGUCAUCGAGUUGAACGUGUGCUGAACUCGGAGGUGCCGUAUGUUCGGUACUUGGAUCGGUCGGAUCGUGAAGACGUACGACUACAUCAACCGCGUUGUGCUAACGCUUCCGCUUACGGUCUACGAGGGUACAUGGACGACACUCUCCCCUCUCAUUGCUAUGCAUCACCAUGAUCUUGCGUGUGCGUAGGAAAAUUUUGAAAUUACUACGUUCCCCAACAGUUGCAUCCGAGCUAGGUUUAUGCGUAGAUGUUAUAUUGAAGGAAAUAUGCCCUAGAGGCAAUAAUAAAGUUAUUAUUUAUUUCCUCAUAUCAUGAUAAAUGUUUAUUAUUCAUGCUAGAAUUGUAUUAACCGGAAACAUGAUACAUGUGUGAAUAUAUAGACAAACAUAAUGUCACUAGUAUGCCUCUACUUGACUAGCUCAUUAAUUAAAGAUGGUUAUGUUUCCUAACCAUAGACAUGUGUUGUCAUUUGAUUAAUGGGAUCACAUCAUUAGGAGAAUGAUGUGAUUGACAUGACCCAUCCCAUUAGCCUAGCACUUGAUCGUUUAGUAUGUUGCUAUUGCCUUCUUCACGACUUAUACAUGUUCCUGUAACUAUGAGAUUAUGCAACUCCCGAUUACCGGAGGAACACUUUGUGUGCUACCAAACGUCACAACGUAACUGGGUGAUUAUAAAGGAGCUCUACAGGUGUCUCCGAAGGUACAUGUUGGGUUGGCGUAUUUCGAGAUUAGGAUUUGUCACUCCGAUUGUCGGAGAGGUAUCUCUGGGCCCUCUCGGUAAUGCACAUCACUAUAAGCCUUGCAAGCAAUGUAGCUAAUGAGUUAGUUACAGAAUGAUGCAUUACGUAAUGAGUAAAGAGACUUUCCGGUAACGAGAUUGAACUAGGUAUUGGAUACUGACGAUCGAAUCUCGGGCAAGUAACAUACCGAUGACAAAGGGAACAACGUAUGUUGUUAUGCGGUUUGACCGAUAAAGAUCUUUGUAGAAUAUGUAGGAGCCAAUAAGAGCAUCCAGGUUCCGCUAUUGGUUAUUGACCGAGAAUAGUUCUAGGUCAUGUCUACAUAGUUCUCAAACCCGUAGGGUCUGCACGCUUAAAGUUUGGAGACGAUCGGUAUUAUGAGUUUUUGUGUUUUGAUGUACCGAAGGUAGUUCGGAGUCCCGGAUAUGAUCACGGACAUGACAAGGAGUCUCUAAAUGGUCGAGACGUAAAGAUUGAUAUAUUGGAUGACUAUGUUCGGACACCGGAAGUGUUUCGGGAGGUUUCAGACAUUUACCGGAAUACCGGGGGGUUACCGGACCCCCCCGGGGAGUAUAUUGGGCCUAAUGGGCAUUGGUGGGAGAAGAGGAGGGGCGGCCAGGGCAGCUGCGCCCCCCUCCCCGUCUAGUCCAAAUUGGACAAGGAGGGGGGCAGCGCCCCCCUUCUUUCCUUCUCCUCCUCUCCCCCUUCCUUCCCUUCUCCUACUCCAACAAGGAAAGGUGGAGUCCUACUCCCGGUGGGAGUAGGACUCCCCCUUGGCGCGCCCUCCUCCUGGCCGGUCGCCUUCCCCCCUUGCUCCUUUAUAUACGGGGGCAGGGGGCACCUCUAGACACACAAGUUCAUCUGUUGAUCUCUCCCAGCCGUGUGCGGUGCCCCCCUCCACCAUAUUCCACCUCGGUAAUAUUGUAGUGGUGCUUAGGCGAAGCCCUGCGUCAGUAGCAUCAUCAACACCGACAUCACGCCGUCGUGCUGACAGAACUCUCCUACAAAGCUCUUCUGGAUCGGAGUUCGUGGGGCGUCAUCGAGUUGAACGUGUGCUGAACUCGGAGGUGCCGUACGUUCGGUACUUGGAUCGGUCGGAUCAUGAAGACGUAUGACUACAUCAACCGCGUUGUGCUAACGCUUCCGCUUACGGUCUACGAGGGUACAUGGACGGCACUCUCCCCUCUCGUUGCUAUGCAUCACCAUGAUCUUGCGUGUGCGUAGGAAAAUUUUGAAAUUACUAUGUUCCCCAACAGUUGCAUCCGAGCUAGGUUUAUGCGUAGAUGUUAUAUUGAAGGAAAUAUGCCCUAGAGGCAAUAAUAAAGUUAUUAUUUAUUUCCUCAUAUCAUGAUAAAUGUUUAUUAUUCAUGCUAGAAUUGUAUUAACCGGAAACAUGAUACAUGUGUGAAUAUAUAGACAAACAUAACGUCACUAGUAUGCCUCUACUUGACUAGCUCAUUUAUCAAAGAUGGUUAUGUUUCCUAACCAUAGACAUGUGUUGUCAUUUGAUUAACGGGAUCACAUCAUUAGGAGAAUGAUGUGAUUGACAUGACCCAUCCCAUUAGCCUAGCACUUGAUCGUUUAGUAUGUUGCUAUUGCCUUCUUCACGACUUAUACAUGUUCCUGUAACUAUGAGAUUAUGCAACUCCCGAUUACCGGAGGAACACUUUGUGUGCUACCAAACGUCACAACGUAACUGGGUGAUUAUAAAGGAGCUCUACAGGUGUCUCCGAAGGUACAUGUUGGGUUGGCGUAUUUCGAGAUUAGGAUUUGUCACUCCGAUUGUCGGAGAGGUAUCUCUGGGCCCUCUCGGUAAUGCACAUCACUAUAAGCCUUGCAAGCAAUGUAGCUAAUGAGUUAGUUACAGAAUGAUGCAUUACAUAAUGAGUAAAGAGACUUGCCGGUAACGAGAUUGAACUAGGUAUUGGAUACCGACGAUCGAAUCUCGGGCAAGUAACAUACCGAUGACAAAGGGAACAACGUAUGUUGUUAUGCGGUUUGACCGAUAAAGAUCUUCGUAGAAUAUGUAGGAGCCAAUAAGAGCAUCCAGGUUCCCCUAUUGGUUAUUGACCGAGAAUAGUUCUAGGUCAUGUCUACAUAGUUCUCAAACCCGUAGGGUCCGCACGCUUAAUGUUACGAUGACAGUUUUAUUAUGAGUUUAAAAGUUUUGAUGUACCGAAGGUUGUUCGGAGUCCCGGAUGUGAUCACGGACAUGACGAGGAGUCUCGAAAUGGUCGAGACAUAAAGAUUGAUAUAUUGGAAGCCUAUAUUUGGAUAUCGGAAUGGUUCCGGGUGAAAUCGGGAUUUUACCGGAGCACCGGGGGGUUACCGGAACCCUCCCGGGGGUUAUUGGGCCUUCAUGGGCCCUAAGGGAGAAGAGGAGAGAAGGCAAGAGGUGGGCUGCGCCCCCUCCCCUCCCUAGUCCGAAUAGGACAAGGAGAGGGGGCAGCGCCCCCCUUUCCUUCCCCUCUUCCUCCUCCUUCCCCCUUCUCCUUCUCCAACUAGGAAAGAAGGGAGUCCGACUCCCGGUGGGAGUAGGACUCCCCCUUGGCGCGCCCUCCUUGGCCGGACGCCCCCUCCCCCUUGGCUCCUUUAUAUACGGGGGCAGGGGGGCACCUCUAGACACACAAGUUGAUCUUCGUGAUCGUUCCUUAGCCGUGUGCGGUGCCCCCCUCCACCAUAUUCCACCUCGGUCAUAUCAUUGCGGUGCUUAGGCGAAGCCCUGCGUCGGUAGAACAUCAUCACCGUCACCACGCCGUCGUGCUGACGGAACUCAUCCCCGACACCCUGCUGGAUCGGAGUCCGGGGAUCGUCAUCGAGCUGAACGUGUGGUGAACUCGGAGGUACCGUACGUUCGGUGCUUGGAUCGGUCGGAUCGUGAAGACGUACGACUACAUCAAUUGCGUUGUCAUAACGCUUUCGCUUACGGUCUACGAGGGUACGUGGACAACACUCUCCCCUCUCGUUGCUAUGCAUCACCAUGAUCUUGCGUGUGCGUAGGAAAUUUUUUGAAAUUACUACAUUCCCCAACAUAUAUGCACGAGUAGAGCACAAGUGAGUUGUGGGCGAUACAAGUCAUACUGCUUACCAGCAUGUCAUACUUUGGUUCGGCGGUAUUGUUGGAUGAAGCGGCCCAGACCGACAUUACACGUACGCCUAUGCGAGAUUGGUUCUACCGAUGUGCUUUGCACACAGGUGGCUGGCGGGUGUCAGUUUCUCCAACUUUAGUUGAACCGAGUGUGGCUACGUCCGGUCCUUGAGAAGGUUAAACAUCACUAACUUGACGAAAUAUCAUUGUGGUUUUGAUGGUAGGUAAGAACGGUUCUUGCUCAGCCCGUAGCAGCCACAUAAAACUUGCAAUAACAAAGUAGAGGACGUCUAACUUGUUUUUGCAGGGCAUGUUGUGAUGUGAUAUGGUCAAGACAUGAUGCUAAAUUUUAUUGUAUGAGAUGUUCAUGUUUUGUAACAGAGUUAUCGGCAACUGGCAAGAGCCAUAUGGUUGUCGCUUUAUUGUAUGCAAUGCAAUCACCCUGUAAUUUGUUUACUUUAUCUCUAAGCGGUAGCGAUAGUCGUAGAAGCAAUAGUUGGCGAGACGACAAUGAUGCUACGAUGGAGAUCAAGGUGUCGUGCCAGUGACGAUGGUGAUCAUGACGGUGCUUCGGAGAUGGAGAUCACAAGCACAAGAUGAUGAUGGCCAUAUGAUAUCACUUAUAUUGAUUGCAUGUGAUGUUUAUACUUUAUGCAUCUUAUUUUGCUUUGAUUGACGGCAGCUGUCGGUGUCAAAACCGGCGGAUCUCGGGUAGGGGGUCCCAAGCAGUGCGUCUUAGGAUCAAUGGUAACAAGAGACGAGGGACACGAUGUUCUACCCAGGUUCGGGCCCUCUCGAUGGAGGUAAAACCCUACCUCCUGCUUGAUUAAUAUUGAUGAUAUGGGCAGUACAAGAGUUGAUCUACCACGAGAUCAGAGAGGCUAAACCCUAUAAGCUAGCCUAUGGUAUGAUUGUUGUAUAUGUCUAUCGACUAGCCUGGCCCCGGUUUAUAUAAUGCACCAGAGGCCUAGGAUAACAAGAGUCCUAGCCGAAUACGCCAGUGGGGGAGGAGUCCUUGUCUUGAUCGCCAAGUCUUGUGGAUUCUUCCUUGUAUGCGGCAGUUGUCCGGACUGGCCCAUGAGUAUACGGCCAUGGGGAUCCUCGGCCCAAUCCACCUGAUCGGGAGACGACGUGGUGAGUACCCCCUAGUCCAGGACACCGUCAGUAGCCCCCUGAACCGGUCUUCAAGUUGGGGACGCUCCUCGAUUCUUCCGAACUGUUCUUCAUCUUCGGUCGUCGGUCUUGAAAACUGGUUCAACAAAUCUUCUCAUCUUCGAUCUUGAGGAUCACCGAAAUGCAUUCGACAAGUUUAUACGUCGGGUAUCCGAGGAGCCCCUUUAAGUUUCCGGCCUUUAUUAAUGCCUUGUUAUUUUUAUGCCAUGCCUCGGGUUUGAAGUUAUUCCCAGGAGGCAGUGUCCUCUUGCGUCCGAGCUCUAACGCCGGACUGCAUUCGAGGUAUCUUUUGUAGCCGAGCACCAACGCCAGACUGCUUCCCAGCUCUAUCGCCAGACUAUGUAUCCGAGCUCCAACGCCGGACGGUAUCUGAGUUCCAACGCCGGACUAUGUAUCCGAGAUCCAACGCCGGACUGUAUCCGAGGUGUCGUAAAUCACCUUGGUUCAAAGAAGUUUGAAGGAGUUUAGCCAAGCUUAAUGCCGGAAAUGCCCUCUAUGGAGCCAGCCACUAGCGUCCGAGCUUUAUGCCGGACUGCUUCCAAGGUGGUGCACCACCCCGAAUGUGGGCCGAUUUUUGUCAAUAUUUUUUGACUGGUGCAAUUUAUUCUCUGCCGAGAUACAUAGCCAGUAGCCCUCAAGGUGGGUAUCGGUCUAAAACCCGAGAUGCCCAUGAAGGAUGACAUAAGACCGCUGAUCCCCGUAGCUGCUGAGACUCAAGUUGAUUUGCAAAAUCGGUCUGAGGAUCAAGACCUAGCUCGGCAGAAUACUUGGGACACAAAAAGCGGCGUGCUCAGUCCUCAAGACUCAGGUUGGGUGCGGCCGACCAACCUGAGGAUCAAAAUCUCCUCGGAAACUGUAUUGCACUUAAAAUUUUCUGCAUAGAACAGGCAAUGCAGUAGCCCCCGAGACACUGGUCGGGUGGCAACACUAGAUCAGGGGAUUGAUGUGCCCCUUUAAUAUUUGUAAACAAUAAGCCCGAAGCCCAGUAGCCCCCGAGCCUUAAUGCGGGCACGGGAGGCCGAAUUAAGGAUCGAUAUCCAUAGUAAAAUCACAAAUUAUGUGUAAUGACUCUAUGUAUCCAAGUACUUUACGUCAUUAAUGCUCGGAUCCGUAUUGUAUAAAACUUUGUUGACCGACCAUCAGCUUCCACCUCCUCGGCCAAUAGCCGAGGAGUGUUUGUCCUACUUUAUAAAGCCUUUAUGAGGGAAAAGAUUGACAACAAACAAGGCAAUCUGGCCAUACGGUUUUAUAAACAAAGGUACGCAGAGAGAUAUGUUAUAUUACUGUUUAACAGAAGAAAUGUCUUCCAAAGAAAAUAGUCCCCCUAUCGGUUCCUUUCUUUGGGUUGUCAUGCUAAGCAUGAUCAUGAAACCUCAGCUCCAAUGUAAGAGCAAAAUAUCGAGGAUUUAGUUUGGGAGGCCAGUUAAUAGCCCCCGGUAGUGUUCGACGACAGUCGAGGUCAAGCCGGAAACACUUCGGCCAAUGUUAUGAAUGGCCCGUCAUUUAAUAUAGUCAUCGGAGCGCUGACCAGUUUACACCUAUUGUGUCAGUUAGUUUUCGGCUUUCUCCACUGAGGUGCUUGACCAUGCGAGCUGGAAGCACAAUCGCAGUGGUUCUCCCUUUGCACACCUAGCCGAACAAAGUGGAACGUAGGAGACAAGCGCGGGAGCCGGGCAACCCAACUAUCGACCGAAGACACAAUUCGAAACUGAUGCAUAUAUAGCAAUAUCCGAGAAUGUUUUUGCCGAAUCUCUAAAGGUGUCCGGCGUUGCACUGCGAGACUUGUGCUGAAAACACACAAAUAGUUUAAAAGUGCCAAAAGCUUAGAAAACCAAAAAACGUCAGUAAAAACAUGACGUCCGAACAAGAUCAAGUGUUCGGUGCCAAUCCGAAAAUUGGACUUUAGAAAAAAAGUGCUUCUGCCGUGCUUUGACAUGACACAUCCUAUCUCAAGACUUCAAGCGGGUCAGCCUAUGGCUUCAGUCUCCCAUCCCGAAGGCGGAGUACUUCUCAUUAGGCCAGUUUAGAAAACUAAACUCUAGCGGUUUUGAGAGAGAAAUUAGGCUCCCGGCUAGUGACCGCACACUCGUGUCGAGAAAAGGAGUGAUAAAUAAUAAAAACUCUGCAACGACUAAGAAGAAAAACACUCAUCAUAAAACGGCUCAUAUAAAUUUAAGAGCCCCCAAGUGACUUGGGUAAAAGAAUGAUUGCAUGUACCGAAGUACUUAUAUCAUAUCUAUGUUCAACCGAACUUUAUACGCGUCUUAACCGACCGUCAGCUUCUCCCUCUUCGGUCAAGGACCGAAAAGUGUUAUGUACUCCAUCUGUCGAGAAUAUCGACGGUGUUUCCAAUAACCAGGCAAUCAGGCCAUAAGGCUGUAACAGACAAAGCGCGCUCAGGGAACUUAUGCUAUAUUACUACGAAGAGUAAGAAGCAUCCUCGAAGAAAAUAGUACCCCCACCGAUACCUUUCUUCGGUGCUCAUUGUUUAUUAUGAGACUUGUGCAAUAGAUUUUUUGUACUCAUGAGUUCCGUUGUGUGCCGACCAUGAUUGAAAACAAUAAGAGCGCUAGAUUUCGGCUUCACCCAGUCUGAGGUCCGGCUCGGUUGACCCAAUCAUGACAAUCGCAGAGGUGCUCCCUUUACUCCCUAGCCAAACAAUCGGAAAUGUAGGGGUAAGCACAGGAGCCAGGCAACCUAGCUUGCAAAUCGCUUAAGUCAAUAUGGUGCAUAUUGUGGCGUAAUACACGAACAAGGAACGAAGCCGUACAAGUAUAACCAUAUGCAAGAGGAAAAAGCUUCAUGAAGGAAGCCCCCAAGUAAACGGGGUAUUUGAAUUUGAGCGUCACAAACAAAGUUUGGACAAGGAAAUUUUUACAAGCAAUUUUUUUCCAAAAAAGUAUAAUGCUUGGCUGAGCCAAACACAAGUUAAAAAUUUAAAACUUUGAGCAUGAAGACAACUUAGCUGGUUAAUGUGUUCGGUAUUGAUGACGCGGUCCGAGCUAGAUGCGGGACAAGGUUCCAUCCCCGAGCCGGUCCCGAGGUGGCGGAGCAAAGAGCUCGGCACUCCGAAGUGGUGACAUAGCACGGUCAAUGCAGGACGGCAAGGUGAUGCCGAAGUCCCCGGCAUGGGGUAAUGAAGUGUUGACGAAGCCCCCGGAGAUAAUAGUAAUAAAAAAAAAUUCGUUGCAUAACAAAUAAUUUAUGCAAAGUGAGUAAUAAAAGAAAUAUGGCCUGGCGCGCCGAAGUCAAUGUCGAUGCAGGGCGGCGGCGUGAUGCGGUAAAGGCAUGGCAAGGCCUGAAUUCACAGGUCGGUUCGAGUUCCGGAUGUGGCGUUCGCCGGACUAUGUACGGAAACUGACCGAACCAUCAUGCGACCAUCGUUAAUGCGGCCACCAUUUGAUAGACCUGCGUACAUAUGACGGACAAACCAGAGUAAUAAUUCAUUGGGAAAAAUGAACCCUAACAAGCAAAAAAAAAUACUAGGAUUAAUAGCACCUGGCUUAUUUGUUGUAGCAAUCCGAAGAAAGGUGAUUCCCAAAAUUGGGACUCGAUCCUCACACCUAUCGCCUGAUGGGCGAUAAAGCAACGGCAUGGCGAUGCAUGGCGAUCCUCGUUCCAGCUAACGUGACGGAGCUGGUCGGCCAGCGACGCUGAAGCCUUCGGAGUAGGUUGAUGAAGAGAUGAUGAAGCCCCCGGUCCAGCGAUGCAGGUCGUGACGUGUUCGAAGCCGGCUUGAUGAUGUGACCGUGUGGCGAUGCAGGUGUGCUGCUCCGUGUAAUCCGUGGGGCGGCGAUGUUGGUGACGAUUUAUCCUUCGCGAUGCCGAACUAUUGUUCGGCUGGCCGAGAUGAUGAUCCGGAGAAAUUGAGCUCGGCUCAACAAAGCCACGACGUGUCUAACACAGGUCGACCGCCGUGGAGUGAUGUUGUCGGGCUGGUUUGACACCGGUGCGACGGUGAAGUUCGUAUUGCAAGAAUACUUUUAAUACUACUGGGAUGUGUUUGAGAAUAAAACACAACACCCCAUACGAAAACUUCCUUCAAAAAGGAUGUCCGAGAUCCCGUUCAAAAAGAAGAUGAAUUCGGGUCGGAUUCGUUCUCGCGCAGAAAACAGAUCCAAAAAGUGAUGCACUAAUCGGAAGUUUCCCGGAGUUUGGACGGUCGGAUCGAGCUGAAUUUUUGGCAGGUGGUAGAUAUGGGAAUUCCGCAGCAAAUCAACGGUUGGAUCCUCCAAAGGACAUCCGAGCUAGAUGCUGGAUACCACGCCCUAGACUCGUCCAGAUUCAACAGGGCUCCGGUAUAUCGGAGAUUGCCGGAGAUUCCUCCAUCGGGACUCGACAAAAUUUUUGCAGGGUUGUUGUAGACUUAAUUCCUCAUAAUUCCACCGAAGUAAUCGUUUAAGCGACACUCGAGGAGGCGGUGGCGGUGGAUACAAGUUUCCUGUCCGAAAAAACAACACGGUCGCCUGAGGGCGAUGUUGACGUUGAGCCCCCGAGCUCCAUGGGUGACUCCUCCAUGAUCUUGAUAGAGAUCGGAGUCGGUGUUGAUGAAGGCCUUCAUCCGAACAUGACGAUCGGAGAUAGGGCGCAGUCCUCGGUCAAGCCAAGGUGACCAGUCGAGCUGGUGACGAAGAAGCCGACGUCGUAGUUGACCUGUAGUCGAGCCAUUGAUCCUUUCGCCGAUCACACAGCGGAACUCUCAAUGAAAGCACCAAUGUCGGUGUCAAAACCGGCGGAUCUCGGGUAGGGGGUCCCAAGCAGUGCGUCUUAGGAUCAAUGGUAACAAGAGACGAGGGACACGAUGUUUUACCCAGAUUCGGGCCCUCUCGAUGGAGGUAAAACCCUACGUCCUGCUUGAUUAAUAUUGAUGAUAUGGGUAGUACAAGAGUUGAUCUACCACGAGAUCAGAGAGGCUAAACCCUAUAAGCUAGCCUAUGGUAUGAUUGUUGUAUAUGUCUAUCGACUAGCCUGGCCCCGGUUUAUAUAAUGCACCAGAGGCCUAGGAUAACAAGAGUCCUAGCCGAAUACGCCGGUGGGGGAGGAGUUAUUGUCUUGAUCGCCAAGUCUUGUGGAUUCUUCCUUGUAUGCGGCAGCUGUCCGGACUGGCCCAUGAGUAUACGACCAUGGGGAUCCUCGUCCCAAUCCACCUGAUCGGGAGACGACGUGGUGAGUACCCCCUAGUCCAGGACACCGUCAGCGGCAUUAUAAGAUGAUCUCUCACUAAAUUUCAAGGUAAAAGUGUUCUCCCUGAAUAUGCACCGUUGCCAAAGUUCGUCGUGCCGAGACACCACGUGAUGAUCGGGUGUGAUAAGAUCUACGUUCAUCUACAACGGGUGCAAGCCAGUUUUGCACAUGCAAAAUACUCGGGUUAAACUUGGCGAGCGUAGCAUAUGCAGAUAUGGCCUCGGAACACUAAGACUGAAAGGUCGAGCGUGAAUCAUAUAGUAGAUAUGAUAAACAUAGUGAUGUUCACCAUUGGAAACUACUCCAUUUCAUGUGAUGAUCGAUUAUGGUUUAGUUGAUUUGGAUCACGUGAUCACUUAGAUGAUUAGAGAGAUGUCUAUCUAAGUGGGAGUUCUUAAGUAAUGUGAUUAAUUGAACUUGAAUUUAUCAUGAACUUAGUACCUGAUAAUAUUUUGCUUAUCUAUGUUGUUGUAGAUAGAUGGCCCAUGCUGUUGUUCCGUUGAAUUUUAAUGCGUUCCUUUAGAAAGCAAAGUUGAAAGAUGAUGGUAGCAAUUACACGGACUAGGUCCGUAACUUGAGGAUUAUCCUCAUUGCUGCACAGAAGAAUUACGUCCUGGAAGCACCGCUAGGUGCCAUGCCUGCUUCAGAUGCAACUGACGACAUUAAGAAUGUCUGGCAGAGCAAAGCUGAUGAAUACUCGAUAGUUUAGUGUGCCAUGCUUUAUGGCUUAGAACCGGGACUUCAACGAUGUUUUGAACGUCAUGGAGCAUAUGAGAUGUUCCAGGAGUUGAAGUUAAUAUUUCAAGCAAAUGCUCGAAUUGAGAGAUAUGAAGUCUCCAAUAAGUUCUAUAGCUACAAGAUGGAGGAGAAUAGUUCUGUCAGUGAACAUAUACUCAAAAUGUCUGGGUAUAAUAAUCACUUGAUUCAACUGGGAGUUAAUCUUCCUGAUGAUAGUGUCGAUGACAGAAUUCUUCAAUCACUGCCACCAAGCUACAAGAGCUUCGUGAUGAACUAUAAUAUGCAAGGGAUGAACAAGACAAUUCCCGAUCUCUUCGCAAUGCUAAAGGUUGUGGAGGUAGAAAUCAAGAAGGAGUAUCAAGUGUUGAUGGUCAACAAGACCACCAGUUUCAAGAAAAAGGGUAAAGGGAAGAAGAAGGGGAACUUCAAAAAGAACGGCAAACAAGUUGCUGCUCAAGAGAAGAAACCCAAGUCUAGACCUAAGCCUGAGACUGAGUGUUUCUACUGCAAGCAGACUGGUCACUGGAAGCGGAACUGCCCCAAGUAUUUGGCGGAUAAGAAGGAUGGCAAGGUGAACAAAGGUAUAUGUGAUAUACAUGUUAUUGAUGUGUACCUUACUAGAGCUCGCAGUAGCACCUGGGUAUUUGAUACUAGUUCUGUUGCUAAUAUUUGCAACUCGAAACAGGGACUACAGAUUAAGCGAAGACUGGCUAAGGACGAGGUGAUGAUGCACGUGGGAAAUGGUUCCAAAGUCGAUGUGACCGCCGUCGCACGCUACCUCUACAUCUACCUUCGGUUUAAUUUUAGACCUGAAUAAUUGUUAUUUGGUGCCAGCGUUGAGCAUGAACAUUAUAUCUGGAUCUUGUUUGAUGCGAGACGGUUAUUCAUUUAAAUCUGAGAAUAAUGGUUGUUCUAUUUAUAUGAGUAAUAUCUUUUAUGGUCAUGCACCCUUGAAGAGUGGUCUAUUUUUAUUGAAUCUCGAUAGUAGUGAUACACAUAUUCAUAAUGUUGAAGCCAAAAGAUGCAGAGUUGAUAAUGAUAAUGCAAUUUAUUUGUGGCACUGUCGUUUAGGUCAUAUUGGUGUAAAGCGCAUGAAGAAACUCCAUACUGAUGGACUUUUGGAAUCACUUGAUUAUGAAUCACUUGGUACUUGCGAACCAUGCCUUAUGGGCAAGAUGACUAAAACGCCGUUCUCCGGAACAAUGGAGCGAGCAACAGAUUUGUUGGAAAUCAUACAUACUGAUGUAUGUGGUUCGAUGAAUAUUGAGGCUUGCGGUUGGUAUCGUUAUUUUCUCACCUUCAUAGAUGAUUUGAGCAGAUAUGAGUAUAUCUACUUAAUGAAACAUAAGUCUGAAACAUUUGAAAAGUUCAAAGAAUUCCAGAGUGUAGUGGAAAAUCAUCGUAACAAGAAAAUAAUGUUUCUACGAUCUGAUCGUGGAGGAGAAUAUUUGAGUUACGAGUUUGGUCUACAUUUGAAACAAUGCGGAAUAGUUUCACAACUCACGCCACCUGGAACACCACAACGUAAUGGUGUGUCCGAACGUCGUAAUCAUACUAGGUAUGGUGCGAUCUAUGAUGUCUCUUACUGAUUUACCGCUAUCGUUUUGGGGUUAUGCUUUAGAGACGGCUACAUUCAUGUUAAAUAGGGCACCAUCAAAAUCCGUUGAGAUGAUGCCUUAUGAACUAUGGUUUGGCAAGAAACCAAAGUUGUCAUUUCUUAAAGUUUGGGACUGUGAUGCUUAUGUGAAAAAUCUUCAACCUGAUAAGCUCGAACCCAAAUCGGAGAAAUGUGUCUUCAUAGGAUACCUAAAGGAAACUGUUGGGUACACCUUCUAUCACAGAUCCGAUGGCAGGACAUUCGUUGCUAAGAAUGGAUCCUUUCUAGAGAAGGAGUUUCUCAUGAAAGAAGUGAGUGGGAGGAAAGUAGAACUUGAUGAGGUAACUGUACCUGCUCCCUUAUUAGAAAGUAGUAAUUAAAGAAACCGGUUCCUGUGACGCCUACACCAAUUAGUGAGGAAGCUAAUGAUAUUGAUCAUGAAACUUCAGAUCAAGUUACUACCGAACCUCGUUGAGGGAGUUCCGGACUAGGGGGUGUCCGGACAGCCGAACUAUCAUGAUCGGCCGGACUCCAAGACUAUGAAGAUACAAGAUUGAAGACUUCGUCCCGUGUCCGGAUGGGACUUUCCUUGGCAUGGAAGGCAAGCUUGGCGAUGCGGAUAUGUAGAUCUCCUACCAUUGUAACCGACUUUGUGUAACCCUAGCCCUCUCCGGUGUCUAUAUAAACUGGAUGGCUUUAGUCCAUAGGACGAACAACAAUCAUACCAUAGGCUAGCUUCUAGGGUUUAGCCUCCUUGAUCUCGUGGUAGAUCUACUCUUGUAACACACAUCAUCAAUAUUAAUCAAGCAGGACGUAGGGUUUUACCUCCAUCAAGAGGGCCCGAACCUGGGUAAAACAUCGUGUCCCUUGUCUCCUGUUACCAUCCGCCUAGACGCACAGUUCAGGACCCCCUACUCGAGAUCCGCCGGUUUUGACACCGACAUUGGUGCUUUCAUUGGGAGUUCCUCUGUGCCAUCACCGAUAGGCUCGAUGGCUUCUUCGAUCAUCAUCAACGACGCAGUCCAGGGUGAGACCUUCCUCCCCGGAUAGAUCUUCGUAUUCGGCGGCUUCGCACUGCGGGCCGAUUCGCUUGGCCAACUGGAGCAGAUCGGAAGCUACGCUCCUGGCCGUCAGGUCAGAUUUGGAAGUUUGAACUUCACGGCUGACAUCCGCGGGGACUUGAUCCUCGAUGGAUUCGAGCCACAGCCGAGCGUGCCGCACUGUCACGGCAAGCAUGAUUUAGCUCUGUAGCCGGACAGUACCCUGGAGGCCGCACUCGAACCCGCUCCGAUCUUCAAUUCGGAGCCGGCAGCGUAGAUCGAGGACGGAUGGCUAGACACCGCCUCGGGGGCUGCAACCUCUACGGCGAUAGAGCCGAACACCGACCUUGUCCCUCAUAAAGCUCGUGACUUCAAGGUGCCGGACUCCUCACCGGACUCCGAACCUCCCGUGCCCCCUCCGAUCGAAUCCGAUUGGGCGCCGAUCAUGGAGUUCACCGCGGCGGACAUCUUCCAACACUCACCUUUUGGCGACAUCUCGAGUUUGCUAAAGUAUCUCUCAUUAUCAGGAGAGCCCUGGCCGGACUGCGACCAGGACGGUUGGGAUGCGGACGACGAAGAAAUUCAAAGCCCACCCACCACCCACUUGGUAGCCACUGUCGACGAUCUAACCGACAUGCUAGACUAUGACUCCGAAGACAUCGACGGUAUGGACGACGAUGCCGGAGACGACCAAGAACCAGCGCCUACCGGGCACUGGACAACCACCUCAUCAUAUGACAUAUACAUGGUGGAUAUCCCAAAGGAUGGGAAUGGCGAAGGAGCAGCGGAGGAUGACCCCUCCAAAAACAGCCCAAGCGCCGACGUCAGCGGCGCCGUUCUAAAUCCCGCCACAGCAAGAAUGGCGAUUCCGGCACCGGAGAUAAUAAUACCCCGGACAGUGCCGAAGACAACCCCCUCCAGCAAAAUUCAGCGCAGGAGGACGGGGACACCAGCCCUCAUGAGAGAGCGGCAGAAGAAGAGGUAGAGGAUUAUAUGCCUCCCUCCGGAGACGAGGCAAGCCUCGACGACGACGAAUUCAUCAUGCCUGAGGAUCCCGUCGAACAAGAGCAUUUUAAACGCAGGCUUAUGGCCACGGCAAACAGCCUCAAGAAAAAGCAGCAACAACUUAGAGCUGAUCAAGAUCUGCUAGCCGACAGAUGGACUGAAGUCCUCGCGGCCGAAGAGCAUGAGCUUGAACGCCCCUCCAAAAGCUACCCUAAACGCAAGCUGCUCCCCCGAUUAGAGGAGGAGACAUAUGAACCUGCAUCACCAGCAGAUAAUACGGCUGACCGACCACCCCGUGGUCGCGACAGGGAGGCCUCUAGGCCCUUCACUAGAACCAUACCCCGGCAUCGCUCGAAAAGCACAAGGCCACAGGGGAACGCUCCGGACUUGUGAGAUAUAUUGGAGGAUAAGGCAAGACAAUCAAGAUCGAUCUACGGAUCGCGUGGGCGCCCCACGAUACGUGACGACAACCGUCGCGCCGGACAUAGUAAGUCCGGCCGGGCCGAACAAAAUAGACAAAGCUCUCUUGAGCUCCGUCGUGACAUCGCCCAGUACAGAGGCGCCACACACCCACUAUGCUUCACAGAUGAAGUAAUGGAUCAUCAAAUCCCCGAAGGGUUUAAACCCGUCAAUAUCGAAUCUUAUGAUGGCACAACAGACCCCGCUGUUUGGAUCGAAGACUAUCUCCUUCACAUCCACAUGGCCCGCGGUGAUGACCUUCACGCCAUCAAAUAUCUCCCGCUCAAGCUUAAGGGACCUUCCCGGCAUUGGCUUAACAGCUUGCCAGCAGAGUCAAUUGGGAGUUGGGAAGACCUGGAAUCAACAUUCCUCGAUAACUUCCAAGGCACAUAUGUGCGACCACCAGACGCUGAUGACCUAAGCCACAUAAUUCAGCAGCUAGACGAAUCGGCCAGACAAUUCUGGACACGGUUCUUAACCAAGAAAAACCAAAUCGUCGACUGUCCGGAUGUGGAGGCCCUCGCGGCCUUCAAGCAUAACAUCCGCGAUGAGUGGCUUGCCCGGCACCUGGGACAGGAAAAGCCGAAAUCCAUGGCAGCCCUCACAUCACUCAUGACCCGCUUCUGCACGGGUGAGGAUAGCUGGCUAGCACGCAGCAACAACCUCAGCAAAAAUUCUGGCAGUCCGGAUUUUAAGGACCAAAAUGGCAGGUCGCGUCGUAACAAAAACAAACGCCGCACUAACGGCGACAAUAGUGAGGAUACAACAGUCAAUGCUGGAUUCAGAGGCUCUAAACCCGGUCAGCGGAAAAAGCCAUUCAAAAGAACUACUCCGGGUCCGUCCAAUUUGGACAGAAUACUCGACCGCUCGUGCCAGAUACACGGCACCCCCGAAAAACCAGCCAACCACAACAACAGGGACUGUUGGGUAUUCAAGCAGGCAGACAAGUUAAUUGCCGAAAACGAGGACAAGGAGCUGCAUAGCGAUGACGAGGAAGAGACCCGACCGCCGAAUAAUAGAGGACAGAAGGGUUUCCCCCCACAGGUGCGGAUGGUGAACAUGAUAUACGCAACGCACAUACCCUAAAGGGAGCGGAAGCGUGCACUCAGGGAUGUAUACACGAUGGAGCCAGUUGCCCCGAAGUUCAAUCCAUGGUCCUCCUGCCCGAUCAUUUUUGGCCGAAGGGACCACCCCACCAGCAUCCGCCACGGCGGAUUCGCCGCAAUGGUUUUAGACCCAAUCGUCGAUGGAUUUCACCUUACCAGAGUCCUGAUGGACGGCGGCAGCAGCCUGAACCUGCUUUACCAGGAUAUAGUGCACAAAAUGGGCAUAGACCCCUCAAGGAUUAAACCUACCAAGACGACCUUUAAAGGUGUCAUACCAGUUGUAGAAGCCAAUUGUACAGGCUCAGUUACACUGGAAGUGGUCUUCAGAUCCCCGGAUAACUUCCGAAGCGAGGAGUUAAUCUCUGACAUAGUUCCGUUCCGCAGCGGCUAUCAUGCCCUGCUCGGACGUACCGCGUUUGCAAAGUUCAACGCGGUGCCGCACUACGCAUACCUCAAGCUCAAGAUGCCAGGCCCUCGAGGAGUCAUCACGGUCAAUGGAACAUACAGCAGCUCUCGUGGCAGAAGUACAAUGCAGCCUCUUAAGGCAAUUCUCGAGUCCGGCCGUUAAGCGGCCGGACACAGCUAAGCGCGCCCGGAGUAACCUACAACAAGACCACCUGGCACGUUCCGAGCACGCGUAGCAGUGCGGCCCCAACCCCAGCCCCCGCAAAACGUCAAGACAGGUCCUUCGCGUACACCAUUACGCUCUGAAGAUACCAUGGGCAUGGGGAGAGGGGCACGACCACGAUAGGCCCAGACUGCGGCUCAACCACACCAGGGGCUCUCAAGUGUGUCGUUCUUUUUUCUUUCCUCUUAUUUAUUUAUUUUUUAGCCACAGGACUCCGUUCGUCAGAGGCCUUGUCCGGCAGCAGACCUGCCGAACUCACGAUGCAACAGCCAGGGAAGGAUAAAGGCUACAACGAAUAUCCAGGUGGUCUCCGUUACGAGCAUUAAAUCUGUUUUAUACACCACUCCGCAGCCUACCCCUGGAGGGGGACACGCUUAAACAGUCCCGUCCCUUGCUUAUUGCACUAGUUGUAUCGUUCUGCAUUCAUAGCAGCACUUCUUGAAUAAAACAAUGCAGCACCUUUUUGCUUAUAAUUGCGUUUCCUUUUUAUACAUAUGUUCAUUUACGGCAUGUCGCAUCCGUACACUUUGGUACGGUUCAAAUACACCAGGGGCUUACGUUUCCCGCAUCAUGGUGUGAUAAGUCUGAACACUUUCACAAGUGCGGCACCCCGAACUUAUAGCAUUAUAUGCACAUGCUCCGAAUCAUGUCUUGGGUCAAUAGUUGGGUUUGCCCGGCUCCCAUGUUUUGGUACCUUAUGUUCCGUUGUAUCGGCUAAGGUAGCACUGGGAGAACCACUAUGAUUGCGCCCCAGUUGAGCUGGGUUAACGCCUCAGUGGAGAAAGCUAAAACUGACCGUCAUGAUGAGGCGAGAGCCGGUCGCUGUUCGAGAGGUUUUUUGCGAGUCCUUAAAGACUUAUGCCGCUUAGAGCGAGGAGCCGGUUUUUGUCCGGCCCAGGCGUGGAUAGCCCAAAUUCGGCCUUCCGAAGACUAGGGGCUUCGCCGAAAUUUAAAAUUAUAGAAUUCCAUGGCUAAGUGACAGUGUUCAAGCAUUAUAAGUCUGGUUGCCUUGUUCAUCGUGUUGAGCGCCUCCCUAGAUGGACCCAAAAAUGGGAACAAGAGUGCUCAAGUUUAUCCCGAACACCCCAGCACUCGCGGCAUGGGGGUUGAAGCCGACGACUUGCCAUCUCUCAGAUUUGAUAAACAGCCGCACAGGAGGUAAAAUUUUAAAUUAACAAGCGUUGCUUAGCGCAUAUGAACUAAGUUUUCAGCGCACAGGAUAACAAAAUGCGAGUCUACUCAAAUACUACAUCUUUGGAGCACUCACCCGCAAUAGUGCGGGCACCCUUCAGGACACUCUUAUAAUACAUCUCGGGCGUGCGGUACUCCUUGCCCUGCGGUGGCGGGUCCGUCACAAGCUUCUGGGCAUCCAUCUUGCCCCAGUGCACCUUUGCGCGGGCAAGGGCCCGACGGGCACCCUCAAUACAAGCGGAGUGCUUGAUGACUUCAACACACGGGCACGCAUCCACCAGCCGCCGCACUAGGCCGAAGUAGCUCCCAGGCAUGGCCUCCUUAGGCCACAGCCGAACUAUGAGGCCCUUCAUGGCCUGUUCGGCCACCUUGUGGAGCUCGACCAGCUGCUUCAGCUGGUCGCUAAGGGGCACCGGAUGUCCGGCCUCAACAUACUGAGACUAGAAGACCUUCUCCGUCGAGCUCCCCUCCUCGGCUCGGUAGAAUGCGGCAGCAUCGGAUAUGCUGCGAGGAAGAUAUGCGAACGCUCCUGGAGAGCUCCGAAUUCGGGUAAGUGAUAUGUAACUCACACUCACAUGCUUACUGCAUGAAAAAUGCCUUACCUGCCGCUAUUUUCUUCAACGCCUCGAUUUCCUGGAGGGCCUUAUAGGCUUCUGCCUUAGCGGUUUUGGCACUCUCAAGAGCCAUCGCAAGCUCGGACUCUCGAGUCUUCAAGUCAUGCUCCAAACUCUCAUGUUUUUCCAUGAGAGCCUGGAGCUCUUGCUGUACCUCCGCCACCCGCGCCUCAUGCUUCUCUCGCUCGGUGCGUUCCGCGGCCGCACUACGUUCGGCCGCGGACACCGCCUCCUUCAGGGUCGCCACCUCGUUCGUGGCCCUGUUACAUCCACGUUAUCCUUGUCAUUUUUCUUGCAACCAAAAUCCUUUUCUAUAAGGUACAAUUUUAAUAAGGUGUUACUCACCUUCCUUGUCCUCGAGCUGCUUUUUGGCAUGGCCAAGCUCGUUCUCAGACUGCUCGAGUCUUUCCUUCAAAGUAUUGACCUCCGCAGACAGUGCGACGGAGGUCAGCAGCACAGCCUGCAAUCCCAUAUUGACAUAUUUUUUAUGACUCCUGCGUAUAUCUUUUUAGAUCCUCAGUCCGACUUUUCUUUCCGAACACCGAACCGAGCAUCAGGGGCUACUGUCUAUGCGGUACCAUUUUAUAUAUAUCAAAAUUCUUACCUCAAAGCCUGUUAGAAGGCUGCUGCAGGCUUCUGUCAGCCCGCUCUUGGCAAGCUGAACCUUCUGAAUUACCGCACUCAUAACAGUGCGGUGUUCCUCUUCAAUGGAGGCGCCAUUGAGCGCCUCCAACAAGUUAUCCGGCGCCUCCGGUUGGACGGAGGCUGCCGGCGUCACGGUCUUGCCCUUCUUACGAAGGGGUCGCCCGCCGGACUCCGGAGCCACUGUAGGUUCCGGGGCCGAGUCCGAUGCAAAGUCCGGGAGGUUGUCCUGCGACACCUCCGGGGCCUCUUCCUCCUGGUGGGUCCCUUCCUGGGAUCCCACCUCGGCGUCGUCCGCAUCACGGGGGGUGGAGGCAGUUGGAAGGGAAUCCAUGUCCGACGCACCUAAGGACCCGCUCGACGAAGCAGGGAGAUCAUCCUUGGGCGGACUGUAGGGUUGUAUGCGGCAUUAGAAAGACAUUAUGUGGUGAAAAGAAAAACCUUGAAGUUAUUCGGGAGUCCGGAUACUUACGAUCUCGCCAGGGGCUUGGCCCUUGGAGGCCAGUCCUCGUCGUCGUCACUGGCGUUGGCGGAGCAGUCCGGGGAAAGAGUUUUUCCCUUCUUGGACCCUUCGGCCUCCCUUGUUGGGGAGGCCUUCCUUUUCUUCCCUCCCCCCGCUGGGGGAGAGGCUUUCUUCUUCUCCUCCUCGCCUUUGUGGGAAGAGUCGGCCUCGGAUUCAUCAUCCGAUAGCACUUGAGAACGGGAGCUCUUUCGAGUACCCGUGGCCUUCUUCUCCGGCACCACAUGGGGUGCCGGAGCCAGCAACCCCAUUAGGCGGGCGUCCGCUGGGUCCUCUGGCAAUGGGGCCGGACAGAUAGUCUGUUCGGCCUUUGCCAGCCAGUCCUGUCAAAGGUAAAGGGAGUUUAGAUCCCGCAUAGAGUCAAACUAUGGAAAACAAGCGACAAAAUCGUUUACCUCGUCAGUUGGAUGCCGCGAGCUGAAUCCGCGAUCUUCGGUAGCGGAUGCGGGAGCCUCGGCGCCCUUGAACAGCACCUUCCAGACAUCUUCGUACGUAGUGUCGAAGAGCCCUUUCAGAGUCUGGUGCUGCGCCGGAUCGAAUUCCCACAUGUUGAAGCCCGUCGCUGGCACGGGAGAAUCCGGCGGAUGAGCAUGACUUGGACUACGUUGACAAGCUUGAGCUUCUUGUCCACCAGCUUUUGGAUACAGGCUUGGAGUCCUAUCAGUUCCUCCGAAUCACCCCAGAUCCGGCCGAUCUCUUUCCAGGAGGUGAGCCGCGUGGGGAUGCCGGAUCUGAAUUCGGGGGCCGCUGCCCAAUCAGGGUCAUGCGGCUCGGUGAUGUAGAACCACCCCGAUUGCCACCCCUUAACGGUUUCCACGAAGGUGCCCUCCAGCCAAGUAACGUGGGACAUCCUGCCCACCAUGGCGCCUCCGCACUCCGCUUGGCUGCCCUUCACAACCUUCGGCUUGACACUGAAGGUCUUGAGCCACAAGCCGAAGUGGGGCUGGAUGCAGAGGAAGGCCUCGCACAUGAUGAUAAACGCCGAGAUGUUGAGGAUGAAAUUCGGGGCCAGAUCAUGGAAAUCCAGGCCGUAGUAGAACAUGAGCCCCCGGACAAAGGGAUGAAGUGGGAAGCCCAGUCCGCGGAGGAAAUGGGGAAGAAAUACUACCCUCUCAUGGGGCCUGGGGGUGGGGAUGAGCUCCCCCUCGUCGGGGAGCCGGUGCGCGAUGUUGCUGGACAAAUAUCCGGCGUUGCGCAGCUUCUGGAUCUGCCCCUCCAUAAUGGAGGAGGCCAUCCACUUGCCUCCCGCUCCGGACAUAGUUGGAGAAGGUUGAGGUGAGAAGUGCGGACUUGGGCGCUGGAGCUUGAGUUCGCGGAGAUGGAUAAGCCAAGGAGGAAGAAGGCGCAAGUAAAAGGGUUGGAUCUUUAUCCCCUUAUAUGGGCGGACAAAAACAUGUGUCCCCACUGGCCUGGUAAAACUCGCUUAUCUCCCAAGUGCCACAAUCAAUGGCGCGGUUGGGUUACCCACGUCCGUAUUGAUGGGAAUCCCGGAAUAAGGGGAACACGAUCUCUACUUCGACAAGACGUGCCAAGGAAACCGCUUCACUAAACGCGCUAAGGUGGUACAGUAAAAACAAUUCGAGUAAAGGCUUGGUAGUGGUGUGACGUCACGCCACAGAAUACGUCAGCAGAUUGAACUUGUGUAAUAUUAUUCUCUCUAUGAUGGUACAUGGAAUUUAUUUUUUGCAGAGCCGGACACUAUCCUGGUGUUCACAAUCUUCUAUAAAUUAUUCGGAGGAAGAACCCGCCUUGCAAUGCCGAAGACAACAUGCGCGCCGGACUCGUCAUCAUUGAAGCCUGGUUCAGGGGCUACUGAGGGAGUUCCGGACUAGGGGGUGUCCGGACAGCCGAACUAUCAUGAUCGGCCGGACUCCAAGACUAUGAAUAUACAAGAUUGAAGACUUCGUCCCGUGUUCGGAUGGGACUUUCCUUGGCGUGGAAGGCAAGCUUGGCGAUACGGAUAUGUAGAUCUCCUACCAUUGUAACCGACUUUGUGUAACCCUAGCCCUCUCUGGUGUCUAUAUAAACCAAAUGGCUUUAGUCCAUAGGACGAACAACAAUCAUACCAUAGGCUAGCUUCUAGGGUUUAGCCUCCUUGAUCUUGUGGUAGAUCCACUCUUGUAACACACAUCAUCAAUAUUAAUCAAGCAGGACGUAGGGUUUUACCUCCAUCAAGAGGGCCCGAACCUGGGUAAAACAUCGUGUCCCUUGUCUCCUGUUACCAUCCGCCUAGACGCACAGUUCGGGACCCCCUACCCGAGAUCCGCCAGUUUUGACACCGACACUCAUAGGUCAACGAGAGUAAGAUCCGCACCAGAGUGGUACGGUAAUCCUAUUCUGGAAGUCAUGUUACUUGACCAUGGCGAACCUACGAACUAUGAGGAAGCGAUGAUGAGCCAAGAUUCCACAAAAUGGCUAGAGGCCAUUGUCGGUGUCAAAACCAGCGGAUCUCGGGUAGGGGGUCCCGAACCGUGCGUCUAAGGCUAAUGGUAACAGGAGGCGGGGGACACAAUGUUUACCCAGGUUCGGGCCCUCUCUAUGGAGGUAAUACCCUACUUCCUGCUUGAUUGAUCUUGAUGAUAUGAGUAUUACAAGAGUUGAUCUACCACGAGAUCGUAGAGGCUAAACCCUAGAAGCUAGCAUACAGUUGUGAUUGUUGUUGUCCUACGGACUAAACCCUUCGGUUUAUAUAGACACUGGAGGGGGCUAGGGUUACACAAAUUCAGUUACAGAGAAGGAAAUCUACAUAUCCGAAUUGCCAAGCUUGCCUUCCACGCAAAGGAGAGUCCCACCCGGACACGAGACAAAGUCUUCAAUCUUGUAUCUUCAAAGUCCAACAGUCCGGCACAAGUACAUAGUCUGGCUGUCCGAGUACCCCCUAAUCCAGAACUCCCUCAGUAGCCCCUGAACCAGGCUUCAAUGAUGAUGAGUCCGGCGCGCAGAUUGUCUUUGGCAUUGCAAGGUGGGUUCCUUCUCCGAAUACUCCAAGGUAGAUAUUGAACACAUGAAUCGUGUCCGGCUCUGCAAAACAAAUUCCACGUACUACUGUAGAGAGCACAAUAUUCCACAAAUCUAAUCUGCUGACAACUUUCCAUAGCGUGACAUCACACCGUGGCCUGGUCAUUAUGCGAACUGUUUUUCUCAACCUGCUACUGCACAUAUUGCGAGGCAGUUUUACUGGCACGUCUUGUCGAAGCAGAGAUCGUGUCCCCUUAUCACGGGAUUCUCAUCAAUAUGGGUGUUGGUAACCCAACCGCGCCAUCAACGUGGCGCUUGGGGAAUAAGCGAGUUUAUGGGGCAAGUGGGGAGGCGCAUAGUUUCUACCGCCUUUAUAAAGAGACAAGGAUUCCCAUUUUUCACCCACGCCCUCUUCUUCCUCUGCUCAUCCAUUCUCGCUCGAGCUCCAGCGCCCAAGCUUUCACCUUCUCUGCAAAAGUCAUUCCAAGCAUGUCCGGAGCGGGAGGCAAGUGGAUGGCCUCCUCCGUCACGGAGGAGGACAUUACGAAGCUUCGGGAGGCCGGAUACCUGUCCGCAAACAUCACGCACUGGCUUCCGGCUGAAGGGCAGAUUGUCCCAACCCCAAAACCCCAGGAGAGGGUAGUGUUCCUCUCUCACUUCAUCCGUGGACUGGGAUCCCCCCUCCACCCGUUUGUCUGCGAGCUGAUGUUCUACUACAGGCUGGACUUCCAUGAUCUGGCCCCCAAUUUCAUCCUCAACAUCUCAGCGUUCAUCGCCGUGUGCGAGGCCUUCCUCUGCAUCAUGCCCCACUUCGGCCUAUGGCUGAGACCUUCAAUGUGAAGCCAAAGGUGGUGGGCGGCCAGCAAGCGGAGUGCGGGGGCGCCAUGGUGGGCAAGAUGCCCAAUGUCACCUGGCCCGAAGGCUCCUAUGUGGAGACCGUGAAGGGGUGGCAAUCGGGGUGGUUCUACAUCACCGAGCCGCGCGACCCAACUGGGCGGCGACCCCUGAAUUUUGAUCCGGCGUCCCCAUGCGGCUCACCUCCUAGAAAGAGAAGGGCUUAGCCUGGGGCUCCUCGGUGGAGCUGACCGGACUCCAGACCUGCACCCAAAACAUGAUAGGCAAGAAAAUCAAGCUUGUCAAUGUGGUCCAGGUCAUGCUCAUCCGCUGGAUCCUUCCAUGUCAAAGACGGGCUUAUAAUUUGUGGGAGUUUGACCCGGUCGAACACCAAAUGCUGCAAGAGCUCUUCGACAUGACGCACGAAGACGUCUGGAAGGUGCUCUUCAAGGCCACUGAGGUCCCCCCACCCAUUACCGAAGAACGCGGACUCAGCGCGAAAGCCAAGCCCAUUCGGUGAGUCUUUAUAUUUUGCAAGAUGUGCCUUUUACCAGCAUAUUCGUGGGAGGAAACUAAGCCUCCAAGCUGAUUUAAUCAGGACUGGGUAUCGACAGCGGAGCGGAUUGACUGUCUGGCUCCACUAUCCGAAGAUCAAGCAUCGCCUCUCUUAACGAAGAUGAUGUUUCCGGUGCCCUAUGAGGUGCCGGAGAAGAAGGCCAAGAAGAAGGCCGCGGGGACCAGGAAAGGUCUCCGGCGCAAGGUGGCAUCGGACGUGACGUCCGAAGACACCGAGACGCGCUCCUCCAACGAAGCCGAGGAGGAGGAAGAGGAAAUUCCUCCCCUCGCAACCGGGUGGGGGAGAAGAAGAGGAAGGCCGCCCUGCAGGGGGAGGCCGAGGCGUCCAAGAAGGGAAAGACCUUCCUUCCGGACCACUCCACCACGGCCACCUACAGCGGCGAGGAGUGGCUGCCCAGGGACAAGCCCCUGGCUAAGUCGUAAGCAUCCUCGACACUUUAAUACUUCCAGUAUGUUUUGCUUUAUUGCUUCUUAUCAUGCCAAACAUGAAUGUGCAGUCCGGCCAAGUCCCACAUCAGGGUAUCCUCUUCGGAGGGGUCCUUGGGCCCGUCGGCAAUGAACAACGAUUCACUCCCAACAACCUCCUCCCCAGGCCCGCGGACGACACCGAGGUGUUGUCUCAGUGGAUACAACACUAGGGGGAGAUGGUUCUGGAGACGCCCCCAGGCAAAAUCCCAGUCGCCGGGCACAUGGGAGGGAAGGCCCCCAUGGACUCGGAUAACGGGGGCCGCAGCAAGUCUGGCCCCCAGCCGAAUACGGCUCCGGAAACCCAAGUGGUUCCGGAUUUAGGCACGCAGCCUCUCUCUAAGGAGGGCGAGAUGCCUGUACCGAUGACCUCUGUCCAUCUAGAGGCGUCAGAUAACUUACUGGAAGCGCUUCGCGGCGCUUCCAUUGAUGAAGAACACCAUACUCUUAUGAGUGCGGUGAUUGAGAAGGUCCGGUCCGCCAAAAGCGGAUUGACCGAAGCCUGCGCCAGCCUCCUAACAGGCUUUGAGGUAAGUAAAAAAUUGUGAGAAAAUAUCACAGUAUGGACAGUAGCCCCUGAUGCUCUGUUUGGUGUUCGGAAAGAAAGGCCGAACAGAGGAUCAAAUAACAUCCGCAGGAGUCUAACAAAAGAUGUCUAUGUGAAUAAGCAGGCGUCGCUGCUGGCCACUGCCACUCGUACUGCGGAGGUCUUCGAACUGAAGCAGGACCUGGAGCGGGCCGAGGGAGAGCUCGGCCUCGUGAAGAGGCAGCUCGAAAAGAACAAAGGUACAUAAUACCCCGUAUGUAUAUUUAGAAAGGAAAAAUCGUUUUUGCUGAUGGAAGCGUCAUGAACUUUACUAGGGGCCACGACCGAACUGGCGGCCCUUAAGGCGGCAUUGACCGUGGCCGAAGACAAAGUGGCCAAGGAGCACGCCGGGCGCGAGAAGCAGGAGGACCGAGUCAACGAGGUCCAGCAAGAGCUCCAGGAUUUCGUCCAAAAAUACGAGUCCUUGGAGCGUGACUCUAAGACACAAGAGUCCGAACUUGCGAAGGCCCUCCGGAGCACACGAGACGCCAAGGCCGAAGCCCAAAAGGCCCUCCAGGAGACUCAGGCGGCCAAGAAGAUUGCGGCGGGUAAGACAUUCAUUAUGCAAAGCAAGCAUGUGAAGGAGACUUUCUUUUACUUACCCGAAUUUGGAGCUCUCUGCUACGUCUUGAGCUUGCGUUGGUUUUCCUUGAAGAGGAAAGGGUGAUGCAGCAAAGUAGCAUAAGUAUUUCCCUCAGUUUUUGAGAACCAAGGUAUCAAUCCAGUAGGAGGCUCCUCACAAGUCCCACGCACAUACACAAACAAACAAAGAACUCGAAACCAACACAAUAAAGGGGUUGUCAAUCCCUUCAUGGCCACUUGCGAAAGUGAGAUCUGAUAGAGAUAGUAUGAUAAGAUAAAUAUAUUUUUGGUAUUUAAUAAUAUAGAUGCAAAAAGUAAAGAUGCAAAUAAAAGUAGAUUAAAAGCUUAUAUGAUAAAAGAUAGACCCGGGGGCCAUAGGUUUCACUAGUGGCUUCUCUCAAGAUAGCAUAAGUAUUACAGUCGGUGAACAAAUUACUGUCGAGCAAUUGAUAGAAAAGCGAAUAAUUAUGAGAUUAUCUAGGCAUGCUCAUGUAUAUAGGCAUCACGUCCGUGACAAGUAGACCGACUCCUGCCUGCAUCUACUACUAUUACUCCACACAUCGAUCGCUAUCCAGCAUGCAUCUAGAGUAUUAAGUUCAUAAGAACAGAGUAGCGCAUUAAGAAAGAUGACAUGAUGUAGAGGGAUAAACUCAAGCAAUAUGAUAUAAACCCCAUAUUUUUAUCCUCGAUGGCAACAAUACAAUACGUGCCUUGCAACCCCUGCUGUCACUGGGUAAGUGUUGGAAAUAUGCCCUAGAGGCAAUAAUAAAUAAGUUAUUAUUAUAUUUCCUUGUUCAUGAUAAUCGUUUGUUAUCCAUGCUAUAAUUGUAUUGAUAGAAAACUCAGAUACAUGUGUGGAUACAUAGACAACACCAUGUCCCUAGUAAGCCUCUAAUUGACUAGCUCGUUGAUCAAUAGAUGGUUAUGGUUUCCUGACCAUGGACAUUGGAAGUCGUUGAUAACGGGAUCACAUCAUUAGGAGAAUGAUGUGAUGGACAAGACCCAAUCCUAAGCCUAGCACAAAGAUCGUGUAGUUCAUAUGCUAAAGCUUUUCUAAUGUCAAGUAUCAUUUCCUUAGACCAUGAGAUUUUGCAACUCACGGAUACCGUAGGAAUGCUUUGGGUGUACCAAACGUCACAACGUAACUGGGUGGCUAUAAAGGUGCACUACAGGUAUCUCCGAAAGUGUCUAUUGGGUUGGCACGAAUCGAGACUGGGAUUUGUCACUCCGUGUGAUGGAGAGGUAUCUCUGGGCCCACUCGGUAGGACAUCAUCACAAUGUGCACAAUGUGAUCAAAGAGUUGAUCGCGGGAUGAUGUGUUACGGAACGAGUAAAGAGACUUCCCGGUAACGAGAUUGAACAAGGUAUCGGCAUACCGACGAUCGAAUCUCGGGCAAGUACAAUACCGUUAGACAAAGGGAAUUGUAUACGGGAUUGAUUGAGUCCUUGACAUCGUGGUUCACCUGAUGAGAUCAUCGUGGAACAUGUGGGAGCCAACAUGGGUAUCCAGAUCCCGCUGUUGGUUAUUGACCGGAGAACGUCUCGGUCAUGUCUGCAUGGUUCCCGAACCCGUAGGGUCUACACACUUAAGGUUCGAUGAUGCUAGGGUUAUAAAGGAAGUUUGUAUGUGGUUAUAGAAUGUUGUUCGGAGUCCCGGAUGAGAUCUCGGACGUCACGAGGAGUCCCGGAAUGGUCCAGAGGUGAAGAUUGAUAUGUCGAAGGGUUUUGGAGUCCGGAAGUGUUCCGGAGGUACCGGGUGAUGACCAGCAUGACCGAAAGGUGUUUCAGGAGCCCCGACAAGUGUUGGGGGGGCUUCAUGGGCCAAGGGGAGGGGGCAAACCAGCCCACUAAGGGGCUGUGCGCCCCCCUCACCUAUUCCCACGUGACCAGGGGGUUUGGGGCGCCCCAUCUAGGGUUCCCACCUCCUGGCUUGGGGGCCAAGUCACCCAAAGGGGCGAUCCCAUCUGCCCUGGCCGCCGCCGCCCCUAGGGGAAACCCUAGGGUGCCUCCCCCUCUCCCUUCCCCCUAUAUAUAGUGGAGGUUUUGGGGCUGCCCAACACAUGAGUUUCUCUCUCCCAAGGCGCAGCCCUACCUCUCUCCCUCCUCGUCUCUCGUAGUGCUUGGCGAAUCCCUGCUGGAGUACCGCGCUCCUCCACAACCACCACGCCGUCGUGCUGCUGCUGGACGGAGUCUUCCCCAACCUCUCCCUCUCUCCUUGCUGGAUCAAGGCAUGGGAGACGUCACCGGGCUGUACGUGUCUUGAACGCGGAGGUGCCGUCCGUUCGACACUAGGAUCUCCAGUGAUUUGGAUCACGACGAGUACGACUCCUUCAACCCCGUUCUCUUGAACGCUUAUGCUUAGCGAUCUACAAGGGUAUGUAGAUGUACUCUCCUUCCCCUCGUUGCUGGUUUAUCCAUAGAUAGAUCUUGGUGACACGUAGGAAAAUUUUGAAUUUCUGCUACGUUCCCCAACAGUGGCAUCAUGAGCUAGGUCUAUUGCGUAGAUUCUUUGCAUGAGUAGAACACAAAGUAGUUGUGGGCGUUGAUUUUGUUCAAUAUGCUUACCGUUACUAGUCCAAUCUUGUUUCGACGGUAUUGUGGGAUGAAGCGGCCCGGACCGACCUUACACGUACUCUUACGUGAGACAGGUUCCACCGACUGACAUGCACUUGGUGCAUAAGGUGGCUAGCGGGUGCCAGUCUCUCCCACUUUAGUCGUAACGGAUUCGAUGAAAAGGGUCCUUAUGAAGGGUAAAUAGCGAUUGGCAUAUCACGUUGUGGUUUUGCGUAGGUAAGAAACGUUCUUGCUAGAAACCCAUAGCAGCCACGUAAAACAUGCAAACAACAAUUAGAGGACGUCUAACUUGUUUUUGCAGGGUAUGCUAUGUGAUGUGAUAUGGCCAAGAAGAAUGUGAUGAAUGAUAUGUGAUGUAUGAGAUUGAUCAUGUUCUUGUAAUAGGAAUCACGACUUGCAUGUCAAUGAGUAUGACAACCGGCAGGAGCCAUAGGAGUUGUCUUUAUUUAUUGUAUGACCUGCGUGUCAUUGAACAACGCCAUGUAAUUACUUUACUUUAUUGCUAACCGGUAGCCAUAGUAGUAGAAGUAAUAAGUUGGCGAGACAACUUCAUGGAGACACGAUGAUGGAGAUCAUGAUGAUGGAGAUCAUGGUGUCAUGCCGGUGACGAUAAUGAUCAUGGAGCCCCGAAGAUGGAGAUCAAAAGGAGCAAUGUGAUAUUGGCCAUAUCAUGUCACUAUUUGAUUGCAUGUGGUGUUUAUCAUGUUUAUGCAUCUUAUUUGCUUAGAACGACGGUAGUAAAUAAGAUGAUCCCUCAUUAAAAUUUCAAGAAAGUGUUCCCCCUAACUGUGCACCGUUGCGAAAGUUCGUCGUUUCGAAGCACCACGUGAUGAUCGGGUGUGAUAGAUUCUUACAUUCACAUACAACAGGUGUAAGCCAGAUUUACACACGCGAAACACUUAGGUUGACUUGACGAGCCUAGCAUGUACAGACAUGGCCUCAGAACACAAGAGACUGAAAGGUCGAGCAUGAGUCGUAUAGUAGAUACGAUCAACAUGAAGAUGUUCACCGAUGAUGACUAGUCCAUCUCACGUGAUGAUCGGACACGGCCUAGUUGACUCGGAUCAUGUAAUCACUUAGAUGACUAGAGAGAUGUCUAUCUGAGUGGGAGUUCAUAAGAUGAACUUAAUUAUCCUGAACAUAGUCAAAAGACCCUUUGCAAAUUAUGUCAUAGCUCACGCUUUAGUUCUACUGUUUUAGAUAUGUUCCUAGAGAAAAUAUAGUUGAAAGUUGACAGUAGUGAUUAUGCGAUCAGUAGAAAGCUUAUGUCCUUAAUGCACUGCUCAGUGUGCAGAACCCCAAACAUCGUCUGUGGAUGUUGCGAACAUCGGACAUACACAUUUUGAUAACUACGUGAUAGUUCAGUUAAACGGUUUAGAGUUGAGGCACCAAAGACGUUUUCGAAACAUCGCGAAACAUAUGAGAUGUUUCGAGGGCUGAAAUUGGGAUUUCAGGCUCGUGCCCACGUCAAGAGGUAUGAGACCUCCGACGAUUUUCUUACCCUGCAAACUAAGGGAGAAAAGCUCAAUCGUUGAGCUUGUGCUCAGAUUGUCUGAGUACAACAAUCACUUUAAUCGAGUGGGAGUUGAUCUUCCAGAUGAGAUAGUGAUGUUUCUCCAAAGUCAUUACCACCAAGCUGCUAGAGCUUCGUGAUGAACUAUAACAUAUCAGGGAUAUAUAUGAUGAUCCUUGAGGUAUUCGCGAUGUUUGACACCGUGAAAGUAGAAAUCAAGAAGGAGCAUCAAUUGUUGAUGGUUGGUGAAACCACUAGUUUCAAAAGGGCAAGGGCAAGAAGGGAUACUUCAUGAAACGGCAAAUCAGCUGCUGCUCUAGUGAAGAAACCCAAGGUUGAACCCAAACCCGAGACUAAGUGCUUCUGUAAUAAGGGGAAUAGCCACUAGAGCAGAAUUACCCUAGAUACUUGGUAGAUGAGAAGGCUGGCAAGGUCGAUAGAAGUAUAUUGGAUAUACAUUAAGUUAAUGUGUACUUUACUAGUACUCCUAGUAGCACCAGGGUAUUAGAUACCGGUUCGGUUGCUAAGUGUUAGUAACUCGAAAUAAAAGGCUACGGAAUAAACGAAGACUAGCUAAAGUGAGAUGACGAUAUGUGUUGGAACUGUUUCCAAGUUUGAUGUGAUUAAACAUCGCACGCUCCCUCUACCAUCAAGAUUAGUAUUAAACCUGAAUAAUUGUCUUUUGGUGUUUGCGUUGAGCAUAGACAUGAUUGGAUUAUGUCUAUCGCAAUGCGGUUAUUCAUUUAAGGAUAAUAAUGGUUACUCUAUUUAUUUGAAUAAUACCUUUAAUGGUCUUGCACCUAAAGGAAUGGUUUAUUGAAUCUCGAUCGUAGUGAUACACAUUUUCAUGCCAAAAGAUAUAAGAUAGUAAUGAUAGUACCACUUACUUGUGGCAUUGCCAUGUAAGUCAUAUUGGUAUAAAACGCAUGAAGAAGCUCCAUGUUGAUGGAUCUUUGGACUCACUCGUUUUUGAAAAGUUUGAGACAUGCGAACCAUGUCUAUUGGUGUAUAUGCAUGAAGAAACUCCAUGCAGAUGGAUCGUUUGGACUCUCUUGAUUUUGAAUCACUUGAGACAUGCAAAUCAUACCACAUGGGCAAGAUGACUGAAAGCCUCAUUUUCAGUAAAAUGGAACAAGAAAGCAACUUGUUGGAAGUAAUACAUUUUGAUGUGUGCAGUCCAAUGAGUGCCCAGGCACGCAGUGGAUAUCGUUAUGUUCUUACUUCACGGAUGAUUUGAGUAGAUACUGAGUAUAUUUACUUGAUGAAACACAAGUCUGAAUUAUUGAAUGGUUCAAGUAAUUUCAGAGUGAAGUUGAAGAUCAUCGUGACAAGAGGAUAAAAUGUCUAUGAUAUGAUCAUAGAGAUGAGUAUCUGAGUUAUGAGCUUUGGCAUGCAAUUAAGACAUUGUGGAAAUGGUUUCACAAUUUAUACCGCCUAGAACACCAUAGUGUGAUGGUGUGUCCGAACAUCAUAGUUGCACCCUAUUGGAUAUGGUGCGUACCAUGAUGUCUCUUAUCGAAUUACCACUAUCGUUCAUGGGUUAAGCAUUAGAGACAACCGCACUCACCUUAAUAGGGCACCAUGUAACUCCGUUGAGACGACACCGUAUGAACUAUGGUUUGGAGAAACCUAAGUUGUCGUUUCUUAAAAGUUUGGGGCUGCGACGCUUAUGUGAAAAAGUUUCAAUUGAUAAGCUCGAACCCAAAGCGGAUAAAAUGCAUCUUCAUAGGACACCCAAAAUAGUUGGGUAUACCUCCUAAUUCAGAUACGAAAGCAAUAGGGAUUGUUUCUUGAAUCGGGUCCUUUCUCGAGGAAAAGUUUCUCUCGAAAGAAUUGAGUGGGAGGAUGGUGGAGACUUGAUGAGGUUACUGAAUCAUCACUUCAACCAGUGUGUAGCAGGGCACAGGAAGUUGUUCUUGUGGCACCUACACCAAUUGAAGUGGAAGCUUAUGAUAGUGAUCAUGAAGCUUCGGAUCAAGUCUCUACCGAACCUGUAGGAUGACAAGGACGCGUACUGCUUCGGAGUGGUACGGUGAUCCUGUCUUAAAGGUCAUGUUGCUAGACAACAAUGAACCUACGAGCUAUGGAGAAGCGAUGGUGGGCCCAUAUUCCGACAAAUGGUUAGAAGCCAUGAAAUCCGAGAUAGGAUCCAUGUAUCAGAACAAAGCAUGGACUUUGGUGGACUUGCCCGAUGAUCGGCAAGCCACUGAGAUAAAUGGAUCUUUAAGAAGAAGACGGACGUGGACGGAAAUGUCACCGUCUAUGAAGGUCGACUUGUGGCGAAGAGUUUUCACAAGUUCAAGGAAGUUGACUACGAUGAGAUUUUCUCAUCCGUAGCGAUGCUUAAGUCCGUCGAAAUCAUGUUAGCAUUAGCUGCAUUUAUGAAAUCUGGCAGAUGGAUGUCAAAACUAGUUUCCUUACCAGUUUUCGUAAGGAAAGGUUGUAUGCAAUACAAUCAGAAAGGUUUUGUCGAUCCUAAGGAUGCUAAAAGGUAUGCUAGCUCCAGCGAUCCUUCCAUGGACUGAAGUAAGCAUCUCGGAAUUGGAAUAUGCACUUUGAUAAGAUGAUCAAAGAUUUUGGGUUUAUACAAAGUUUAUGAGAAACUUGUAUUUCCAAAGAAGUGAGUGGGAGCACUAUAGAAUUUCUGAUGAGUAUAUGUUGUUGACAUAUUGUUGAUCAGAAAUGAUGUAGAAUUUCUAGAAAUCAUAUAAGGUUAUUUGAAAAGUGUUUUUCAAUGGAAAACCUAGAUUAGGCUACUUGAACAAUAAGCGUCAAGAUCUAUAAGAUAGAUCAAAAUGCUUAAUAAUACUUUCAAAUGAGCACGUACCUCGACAUGAUCUUGAAAGUGUUCAAGAUGGAUCAGUCAAAGAAGGAGUUCUUGCCUGAGUUAUAAGGUACAAAGUUAAAACUUAAAGCUCGACCACGACAGAAAAGAGAGAGAGGAUGAAGGUCCUCCCCUAUGCUUUAGACGUAGGCUCUACAGUAUGCUAUGCUAAGUACCGCACCUGAUGUGUGCCUUGCCACAUGUCUGGCAAGAGGGUACAAAGGUGAUCAAGGAGUGGAUCACCAGAUAGUGGUCAAAAUUAUCCUUAGAGGAAUAAGGAUUUGUUUCUCGAUUAUGGAGGUGAUAAAGAGUUCGGCGUAAAGGCUUACGACGAUGCAAGCUUUAACACCUAUCCGAAUGACUCUGAGUAGCAAACCGGAUACAUAUAGUGGAGCGACCAUUUGGAAUAGCUCCAAGUGGAGCGUGGAAGCAGCAUUUACAAUAUGACCUAGAGAUUUGCGAAGUACAUACGGAUCUGAAUGUUGCAGACUGUUGACUAAAACUUCUCUCACAAGCAAAACAUGAUCAAACUCCAGAACUCAUUGAGUCUUAAUCACAUGAUGAUGUGAACUAGUUUAAUGACACUAGUAAACUCUUUGGAAGUUGGUCACAUGGCGAUGUUACGUGUGAGUGUUAAUCACAUGGCGAUGUGAACUAGAUUAUUGACUCUAGUGCAAGUGGGAGUCUGUUGGAAAUAUGCCCUAGAGGCAAUAAUAAAUAAGUUAUUAUUAUAUUUCCUUGUUCAUGAUAAUCAUUUAUUAUCCAUGCUAUAAUUGUAUUGAUAGGAAACUCAGAUACAUGUGUGGAUACAUAGACAACACCAUGUACCUAGUAAGCCUCUAAUUGACUAGCUCGUUGAUCAAUAGAUGGUUGCGGUUUCCUAACCAUGGACAUUGGAAGUCGUUGAUAACGGGAUCACAUCAUUAGGAGAAUGAUGUGAUGGACAAGACCCAAUCCUAAGCCUAGCACAAAGAUCGUGUAGUUCGUAUGCUAAAGCUUUUCUAAUGUCAAGUAUCAUUUCCUUAGACCAUGAGAUUUUGCAACUCCCGGAUACCGUAGGAAUGCUUUGGGUGUACCAAACAUCACAACUUAACUGGGUGGCUAUAAAGGUGCACUACAGGUAUCUCCGAAAGGGUCUAUUGGGUUGGCACGAAUCGAGACUAGGAUUUGUCACUCCGUGUGACGGAGAGGUAUCUCUGGGCCCACUCGGUAGGACAUCAUCACAAUGUGCACAAUGUGAUCAAAGAGUUGAUCGUGGGAUGAUGUGUUAUAGAACGAGUAAAGAGACUUGCCGGUAACGAGAUUGAACAAGGUAUCGGCAUACCGACGAUCGAAUCUCGGGCAAGUACAAUACCGUUAGACAAAGGGAAUUGUAUACGGGAUUGAUUGAGUCCUUGACAUCAUGGUUCAUCUGAUGAGAUCAUCGUGGAACAUGUGGGAGCCAACAUGGGUAUCCAGAUCCCGCUGUUGGUUAUUGACCGGAGAACGUCUCGGUCAUGCCUGCAUGGUUCCCGAACCCGUAGGGUCUACACACUUAUGGUUCGAUGACGUUAGGGUUAUAAAGGAAGUUUGUAUGUGGUUACCGAAUGUUGUUCGGAGUCCCGGAUAAGAUCUCGGACGUCACGAGGAAUCCCGGAAUGGUCCGGAGGUGAAGAUUGAUAUAUUGGACGAAGGGUUUUGGAGUUUGGAAGUGUUCCGGAGGUACCGGGUGAUGACCAGCAUGACCGAAAGGUGUUUCGGGAGCCCCGACAAGUGUUGGGGGGGCUUCAUGGGCCAAGGGGAGGGGGAAAACCAGCCCACUAAGGGGCUGUGCGCCCCCGUCACCUAUUCCCACGUGACCAGGGGGUUUGGGGCGCCCAUCUAGGGUUCCCACCUCCUGGCUUGGGGGCCAAGUCACCCAAAGGGGCGAUCCCAUCUGCCCUGGCCGCCGCCCCCCCUAGGGGAAACCCUAGGGCGCCUCCCCCUCUCCCUUCCCCCUAUAUAUAGUGGAGGUUUUGGGGCUGCCCAACACAUGAGUUUCUCUCUCCCAAGGCGCAGCCCUACCUCACUCCCUCCUCGUCUCUCGUAGUGCUUGGCGAAGCCCUGCUGGAGUACCGCGCUCCUCCACCACCACCACGCCGUCGUGAUGCUGCUGGACGGAGUCUUCCCCAACCUCUCCCUCUCUCCUUGCUGGAUCAAGGCAUGGGAGACAUCACCGGGCUGUACGUGUGAUGAACGCGGAGGUGCCGUCCGUUCGGCAGUAGGAUCUCUAGUGAUUUGGAUCACGACGAGUACGACUCCUUCAACCCCGUUCUCUUGAACGCUUCCGCUUAGCGAUCUACAAGGGUAUGUAGAUGCACUCUCCUUCCCCUCGUUGCUGGUUUCUCCAUAGAUAGAUCUUGGUGACACGUAGGAAAAUUUUGAAUUUCUGCUACGUUCCCCAACAGUAAGGACACCGCAAGAUUGAACCCAAAGCUAAGCACUUCUCCCAUGGCAAGAAAGAUCAAUCUAGUAGGCCAAACCAAACUGAUAAUUUGAAGAGACUUGCAAAGAUAACUCAAUCAUACAUAAAAGAAUUUAGAGGAGAUUCAAAUAUUUCUCAUAGAUAAACUUGAUCAUAAACCCACAAUUCAUCGGAUCUCGACAAACACACCGCAAAAAGAGUUUACAUCGAAUAGAUCUCCAAAAGAGAGGGGGAGAACAUUGUAUUGAGAUCCAAAAAGAGAGAAGAAGCCAUCUAGCUAAUAACUAUGGACCCGAAGGUCUGUGGUAAACUACUCACAACUCAUCGGAGGGGCUAUGGUGUUGAUGUAGAAGCCCUCCGUGGUCGAUUCCCCCUCCGGCGGAGCGUCGACGAAGGCUCCAAGAUGGGAUCUCGCGGAUACAGAAGGUUACGACAGUGGAAAUUGUUUUUGGUUGGCUCCCUGGAUGUUUUCGAGGUACGUGGGUAUAUAUAGGAGGAAGAAGUACGUCGGUGGCCGCCCGAGGGGCCCAGGAGACAGGGGGCACGCCCAGAGGGGGUGGGCGCGCCCUCCUAUCUCCUGGCCGCCUCGAUCGCUUCUUGGCUUGCACUCCAAGUCCUUUGGAUCACGUUCAUUCCAAAAAUCACGCUCCCGAAGGUUUCAUUCCGUUUGGACUCCGUUUGAUAUUCCUUUUCUUCGAAAUACUGAAAUAGGCAAAAAACAGCAAUACGGGCUGGGCCUCCGGUUAGUAGGUUGGUCCCAAAAAUGAUAUAAAUGUGUAAAAUAAAGCCCAUAAACAUCCAAAAGGGGUAAUAUAAUAGCAUGGAACAAUCAAAAAUUAUAGAUACAUUGGAGACAUAUCAAGCAUCCCCAAGCUUAAUUCCUGCUCGUCCUCGAGUAGGUAAAUGAUAAAAACAAAAUUUUUGAUGUGGAAUGCUACCUAGCAUAUUUCACAAUGUAAUUUUCUUUAUUGUGGCAUGAAUGUUCAGAUCCAAAUGAUUCAAAAUAAAAGUUCAUAUUGAUAACAGAAAUAGUAAUACUUCAAGCAUACUAAUCAAAGCAAUCAUGUCUUCUCAAAAUAACAUGGCUAAAGAAAGUUCAUCCCUACAAAAUCAUAUAGUUAGGCUAUGCUUCAUUUUCGUCACACAAAAAUGUUCCGAAAUUCUACACCCCCGAUGACAAGCCAAGCAAUUGUUUCGUACUUAAAUAAUCUCAAACUUUUUCAACCUUCACGCAAUACAUGAGUGUGAGCCAUGGAUAUAGCACUAUGGGUGGAAUAGAAUAUGAUGAUGGGGAUUGUGUGGAGAAGACAAAAAAGGAGAAAGUCUCACAUUGACGAGGAUAAUCAACGGGCUAUGGAGAUGCCCAUCAAUUGAUGUCAACAUGUGGAGUAGGGAUUGCCAUGCAACGGAUGCGCUAGAGCUAUAAAUGAAUGAAAUCUCAACAAAAGAAAAUUAGUGGGUGUGCAUCCAACUCGCUUGCUCACGAAGACCUAGGGCAUUUGAGGAAGCCCAUCGUAGGAAUAUACAAGCCAAGUUCUAUAAUGAAAAAUUCCCACUAGUAUAUGAAAGUGACAACAUAUGAGACUCACUAUAUGAAAAGCAUGGUGCUACUUUGAAGCACAAUAUAUGAGACUCGCAAUAUGAAUGACAUGGUGCUACUUUGAAGCACAAGUGUGGAAAAAGAGAUAGUAACAUUGCCCCCCUUUUUUGGCCUUUCUUUUUUUUUCUUUGGGACAAUGCUCUAAUAAUGAUGAUCAUCACACUUUUAUUGAUUACAACACAUGAAUUACAACUCGAAACUAGAACAAGAUAUGACUCUAUAUGAAUGCCUCCGGCGGUGUACCGGGAUGGUGCAAUGAAUCAAGAGUGACAUGUAUGAAAAAUUAUGCAUGGUGGCUUUGCCACAAAUACGAUGUCAACUACAUGAUCAUCUAAUGGCAAUAUGACAAAAGCAAUGUAUGUCAUGAUGAUGAACGGAACGGUGGAAAGUUGCAUGGCAAUAUAUCUCGGAAUGGCUAUGGAAAUGCCAUAAUAGGUAGGUAUGGUGGCUGUUUUGAGGAAGAUAUAAGGAGGUUUAUGUGUGAUAGAGCGUAUCGUAUCACGGGGUUUGGAUGCACCGGCGAAGUUUGCACCAACUCUCAAGGUGAGAAAGGGCAAUGCACGGUACCGAAGAGGCUAGCAAUGAUGGAAAGGUAAAAGUGCGUAUAAUCCAUGGACUCAACAUUAGUCAAAAGAACUCAUAUACUUAUUGCAAAAAUUUAGAAGUCAUCAAAAACCAAGCACUACGCGCAUGCUCCUAGAGGGAUAGAUUGUUAGGAAAAGACCAUCGCUCGUCCCCGACCGCCACUCAUAACGAUGCACAAUCCAAGUACACUUCAUGUUUCAAAUUUGUUACACAACUUUAACCAUACGUGCAUGCUACAGGACUUGCUAACUUCAACACAAGCAUUCUUUAAAUUCAUAAUCACCCAACUAGCAUGACUUUAAUAUCACUACCUCCAUAUCUCAAAACAAUUAUCAAGUAUCAAAUUGAUCAUAGCAUCCAAUUCACUUCCUAUGAUAGUUUUUAUUAUACCCAACUUGGAUGCCUACCAUUCUAGGACUAAUUUUAUAACCAUAGAAAAUACCAUAUUGUUCUAAAAGACUCUCAAAAUAAUAUAAGUGAAGCGUGAGAGACUAGCAAUUUCUACAAAAUUAAGCCAUCGCCGUGCUCUAAAAGAUAUAAGUGAAGCACUAGAGCAAAAACUAUCUAGCUCAAAAGAUAUAAGUGAAGCACAUAGCAUAUUCUAAUAAAUUCUAAUCAAGUAGGCUUCUCCCAAAAGGUGUGUACAGCAAGGAUGAUUGUGGAAAACUAAAAAGCAAAUACUAAUAUCAUACACGGCGCUCCAAGCAAAACACAUAUCAUGUGGCAAAUAAAAAUAUAGCUCCAAGUAAAGUUACCAAUGAACAAAGACGAAAGAGGGGAUGCCUUCCUGGGGCAUCCCCAAGCUUAGGCUUUUGGCUAAUCUUGAAUAUCUUGGGGUGCCAUGGGCAUACCCAAGCUUAGGAUUUUGCCACUCCUUAUUCCAUAGUCCAUCAAAUCUUUACCCAAAACUUGAAAACUUCACAACACAAAACUCAACAGGAAAUCUCAUAAGCUCCGUUAGUGAAAGAAAAGAAAACCACCACACAAGGUACUUUAAUAAAAUAAUUCUUUAUUUAUAAUGGUGUUAAACCUACUGUAUUCCAACUUCUCUAUGGUUUAUAAACUAUUUUACUAUCCAUAGAUGCAUCAAAAUAAGCAAACAACACACGAAAGGCGGAAUCUAUCAAAAACAGAACAGUCUGUAGCAAUCUAUAACUAACGCAAACUUCUGGAACUAAAAAAAUCCUAAAAAAUAGGAAGUCCUGGAAAAUUAGUCUAUUGAUCAGCACAAAAAAUAAUCAACGCAAAAUCACGUUUCUGUGAUUUAUAAAAACUAAUUUCGUACGCGCAAAGUUUCUGUUUUUCAGCAGAAUCAAAUCAACUAUCACCAUAGGUUAUCCUAUAGGUUCUACUUGGCACAAACACUAAUUAAAACAUAAAAACACAUCUGAAUAGAAGGUAGAUGCAAAAUUUAUUACUAAACAAAAACAAAAACAAAUAACACAAAAUAAAAUUGGGUUGCCUCCCAACUAGCGCUAUCGUUUAACGCCCCUAGCUAGGCAUAAAAGCGAGGAUAGAUCUAAGUAGUGCCAUCUUUGGCACUCAAUUCAUAAGUAGCUCGCAUGAUAGAUUCAUAAGGUAAUUUGACUUUCUUUCUUGGAAAGUGCUCCAUGCCUUUCCUUAAUGGAAAUUGGAAUCUAAUAUUCCCUUCCUUCAUAUCAAUAAUCGUUCCAAUCGUUCUAAGGAAAGGUCUACCAAGAAUAAUAGGGCAAGAAAGAUUGUAAUCUAUAUCAAGAACGAUAAAAUCUACGGGCACCAAAUUUCUAUUUGCAACAAUGAGAACAUCAUUGAUCCUUCCCAUUGGCUUUUUAAUGGUGGAAUCCGCAAGGUGAAAAUUUUAAAGAUCAAUCAUCAAGAUCAUGGAAACCUAGAAUAUCACAUAAAGUUUUCAGAAUCGUGGAAACACUAGCACCCAAAUCACACAAAGCAAAACACUCAUGAUCUUUAAUUUUAAUCUUUAUAGUAGGUUCCCACUCAUCAUUAGGUUUUCUAGGUAUAGAAACUUCCAAAUUAAGUUUUUCAUCAUAAGAUUGCAUCAAGGCAUCAACAAUGUGUUUGGUAAAAGCUUUAUUUUGACUAUAAGCAUGAGGAGAAUUAACAACAGAUUGCAACAAGGAAAUACAAUCUUCUAAAGCACAAUUAUCAUAAUCAAAUUCCUUGAAAUCCGAGAUAGUGGGUUCAGUACUAUUUAAAGUCAUGACCUCUCCAAUCCCACUUUUACCAAAUUUAGCAUCAAGAUCUGAAAACUCCGAAUUAUUGGGAUGCCUUCUAACUAAAGUUGACUCAUCUCCAGUCCCAUUAUUAUUAAGAUUCAUAUUGCAAAACAAAGAUCUAACAGGAGACACAUCAAUAACUUUAAGAUCUUCAUCAUUAUUUUCAUCUAACUUUUCUGGUUUGGCAGCCAUCUUAUUAACUAAGGUAGCUUGCUUAUCAGAAAUUUGGAUUAUAGCAUUUUCAAGCCAGGUAAUUUGAGAGUUCACACCAUAAGAUUCUUUAGACAUAUCAUCAAGCUCUUUGUUCAUAAACCCCAAAAAACCUUUUUGUUCCUUAAGCUCUUUUCUGAAGAAAUUAUUAUGCUCAAAUUGCAAAGUCAUAAAACUUCUAAUGUUUGAUUCAAUCUCUUCCAACCUUCUAAGAAGGAGGUCGGUACUCUUAGGCAAAGCCAUAAGGAUAAACAAGCACACAAAAAGACAAGCGAGAGAGAGAGAGAAGAAGAUUGGUAAAGAGAGGGUGAAUAAAACGGCAAGGGUGAAGUGGGGGAGAGGAAAACGAAAGGCAAAUGGCAAAUAAUGUAAAUGCGAGGGAGAUGAGUUUGUGAUGGGUACUUGGUAUGUCUUGACUUGAGUGAAGACCUCCCCGGCAAUGGCGCCAGAAAUCCUUCUUGCUACGUCUUGAGCUUGCGUUGGUUUUCCUUGAAGAGGAAUGGGUGAUGCAGCAAAGUAGCGUAAGUAUUUCCCUCAAUUUUUGAGAACCAAGGUAUCAAUCCAGUAGGAGGCUCCUCAGAAGUCCCACGCACCUACACAAACAAACAAAGAACUCGCAACCAACGCAAUAAAGGGGUUGUCAAUCCCUUCACGGCCACUUGCGAAAGUGAGAUCUGAUAGAGAUAGUAUGAUAAGAUAAAUAUAUUUUUGGUAUUUUAUAAUAUAGAUGCAAAAAGUAAAGAUGCAAAUAAAAGUAGAUUAAAAGCUUAUAUGAUAAAAGAUAGACCCGGGGGCCAUAGGUUUCACUAGUGUCUUCUCUCAAGAUAGCAUGAGUAUUACGGUGGGUGAAUAAAUUACUGUCGAGCAAUUGAUAGAAAAAUGAAUAAUUAUGAGAUUAUCUAGGCAUGAUCAUAUAUAUAGCCAUCACGUCCGUGACAAGUAGACCGACUCCUGCCUGCAUCUACUACUAUUACUCCACACAUCGACCGCUAUCCAGCAUGCAUCUAGAGUAUUAAGUUCAUAAGAACAGAGUAACGCAUUAAGAAAGAUGACAUGAUGUAGAGGGAUAAACUCAAGCAUUAUGAUAUAAACCCCAUCUUUUUAUCCUCGAUGGCAACAAUACAAUACGUGCCUUGCAACCCCUGCUGUCACUGGGUAAGGACACCGCAAGAUUGAGCCCAAAGCUAAGCACUUCUCCCAUGGUAAGAAAGAUCAAUCUAGUAGGCCAAACCAAACUGAUAAUUCGAAGAGACUUGCAAAGAUAACUCCAAUCAUACAUAAAAGAAUUCAUAGGAGAUUCAAAUAUUUCUCAUAGAUAAACUUGAUCAUAAACCCACAAUUCAUCGUAUCUCGACAAACACACCGCAAAAAGAGUUUACAUCGGAUAGAUCUCCACAAGAGAGGGGGAGAACAUGGUAUUGAGAUCCAAAAAGAGAGAAGAAGCCAUCUAGCUAAUAACUAUGGACCCGAAGGUCUAUGGUAAACUACUCACAACUCAUCGGAGGGGCCAUGGUGUUGAUGUAGAAGCCCUCCAUGGUCGAUUCCCCCCUCCGGCGGAGCGCCGGCGAAAGCUCCAAGAUGGGAUCUCGUGGAUACAGAAGGUUACGAUGGUGGAAAUUGUUUUUUGUUGGCUCCCUAGAUGUUUUCGGGGUACGUGGGUAUAUAUUGGAGGAAGAAGUACGUCGGUGGCCGCCCGAGGGGCCCAGGAGACAGGGGGCGCGCCCAGAGGGGGUGGGCGCACCCUCCUAUCUCCUGGCCGCCUCGAUCGCUUCUUGGCUUGCACUCCAAGUCCUCUGGAUCACGUUCGUUCCAAAAAUCAUGCUCCCGAAUGUUUCAUUCCGUUUGGACUCCAUUUGGUAUUCCUUUUCUUCGAAAUACUGAAAUAGGCAAAAAACGGCAAUACGGGCUGGGCCUCCGGUUAGUAGGUUAGUUCCAAAAAUGAUAUAAAUGUGUAAAAUAAAGCCCAUAAACAUCCAAAAGGGGUAAUAUAAUAGCAUGGAACAAUCAAAAAUUAUAGAUAGGUUGGAGACGUAUCACUCUCCAGGAGCAUUCGCAGAUCUUCCGCGCAGCAUAUCUGAUGCCGCAGAGUUCUACCAAGCUGAAGAAGGAAGCUCGACAGAGAAGUUGUUCUAGUCUCAGUAUAUUGGGACCGAACAUCCAAUGCCCUUGAUUGACCAGCUGAAGCAACUGGUCGAACUGCACAAAGCGGCCGAACUGGCCAUGAAGAACCUCAUAGUCUGGCUGUGGCCUGCCGAGCCCCUGCCCAGUAGCUACUUCGGCCUAGUAAAGCGGCUUGUGAGUGCCUGUCCGUGGCUUGAAGUUAUAAAGCGGUCGGUUUGCAUUGAAGGUGCGCGAAUAGCCUUCGCCCGCGCAAAAGUGCAUUGGGCGAAGAUGGAUGCCGAGAAGCUGAUGACCGAAGGACCGCCGAAGGGCAAGGAGCAUCACCACCCCGAGAAGUAUUAUGAUAGUGUCCUGAAGGGCUCUCGCCUUGUGGCGGAGCAGUGUGCGAAGGAUGUAAUCUUCGAGUGAAUACACUCAUUUUAUCCUGUAAUAUGAAACAAGUUCUUUUGCGCCAUAUAACGCUUGCUGAUUUAAAAUUUUACCUUCCAUGCGGCCGUUUAUAAAAUCUAAGAGUUGGCCAGUCGUCGGCUUCUACCCCCAUGUAAUUAGUACCGGGGUGUUCAGGAUAAAUCUAAAUACUCUUUAUCCAAAUUUUUGGUCCUUUAAGGAGGUGUUUAGCGCAACAAACAAGGCAAUCAGACUAUACAACUUUAUCACUCUCACUUAGCCAUAGAAGUUCUAUAAUUUUAAAUUUUGGAAUAGCCCGUGGUAUUCGAAAUACUAAACUUGGGGCGCUAUACACGCCUAAAUCGGACAAAGGCCGAUUCCUCCCCCAAAGCGGAAAAAAUCUUUAAGGAUUUGAGACCUCUCGAACAGCGACCAGCUCUCGCGGCAUCAUGACAGUCAGUUUUUGGCUUUCUCUACUGAGGCGCUCAUCCGGAAGAACCGGGACACAAUCGUAGUAGUUCUCCCUGUGCCACCUUAGCCGAUAUAGCAGAACGUAAGACAUCAAAACAUGGGAGCCGGGCAAACCCAACUAUUGACCCAAGACAUGAUUCAGAGCUGAUGCAUAUAAUGCUAUAAGUUCGGGGUGCCGCAAUGUCGAAAGUGUUCGGACUUUUCUUGCCGUGUUAUGGGGUAACUGAAGCCCCUGGCGAGCUGAACGUACCCAAAUGUACGGGUGCAAUUUGUAAUGAAUAAACAGUCAAGGAAAAAGAUAGAGAAAUGUAAUAAUAAGCUGACGUUGUACAUUAUUUUCGAUUGUUUAUUUGAAUAAUACGUCAAGACGUAUGUAUACAAGUGGUGCGAUAAGCAAAAUAGGACUAUUUGACAUGUCCUAACCUAAGAGCGAGUUGCGUGUGGGUAUGUAAAACAGGUAUAACGAUCGUUAUCAGAGACCACUCGGGGAUUCCCUUGUACGUUAAAGCUCCUUGCCUCCUUGGUGUUUCCGUCCCGUGACGGGUCCGAUAAUCAGGCUUUCGAAAGAGCCUACGGGAAAUAGGGACCUAAAAGAAAGAAAAAAAGGGUGAAGGUAUAUGGAUCCUGGGGCGGCUAAGCCGCAUUGAGGACCGGAUUCUAGUUGUGCCUCCGUCUAUGCCCAUGGUAUUUUAAGUGCGUAGUUAUGUGCGUGCGGCACAAAUUUCACCGCUUGACUGGGAAUAGGACGGAGGCCGAAUUGCUAGGUGAGCUCUGGACGUGCCGGACGAUCCUAUUGCAGAGUACCUCGAACUCGCUUGGUGGUGUCCGGGGUUUUUAGUGCCGCAUUGGAGGUCUGCCUAAGAAGGCUGCUUUGUACUUCUACUACGAGGGCCGCAGUGUCCUCCUCCGUGCAGAGGGAGCGCUCUGUGUUUCCAUUGACUGUUAUAACCCCGCGAGGUCCUGGCAUUUUGAGCUUAAGGUAUGCAUAAUGCGGUACCGCAUUGAAUCUGGCAAAUACGGUUUGUCCGAGCAGUGCGUGAUAGCCACUGCAGAAGGGGACAAUAUCGAAGAUUAACUCCUCGCUUCGGAAGUUGUCCGGAUAUCUGAAGACUACUCCCAAUGUGAUUGAGCCCGUGCAACAGGCCUCUACACCUGGUAUGACACCUUUAAAGGUGGUUUUGGUGGGUUUGAUCCUUGAGGGAUCGAUGCCCAUUUUGCGCAUUGUAUCCUGAUAGAGCAGGUUCAGGCUGGUGCCACCAUCCAUAAGGACUCGUGUAGGGUGGAAUCCGUCAAUGAUGGGGUCGGGGACCAAUGCGGCCGAGCCGCCAUGACGGAUACUGGUCGGAUUGUUCCUGCGAUCGAAGGUGAUCGGACAAGAAGACCAUGCAUUGAACUUUGGAGCGACUGGCUCCAUCGCAUAGACGUCCCUUAGUGCAUGCUUCUGUUCCCGCUUGGGAAUAUGGGUUGCGUAAAUCAUAUUUACCGUUUUUACUUGGGGAGGAAAUUUCUUCUGUCCUCCUGUGUUCGGCAGCCGGGGUUCCUUGUCGUCAUCACUAUGCGGCCCCCUUUCCUUGUUUUCAGCAUUCAACUUGCCGGCCUGUUUGAACACCCAACAUUCUCUGUUGGUGUGGUUGGCUGGUUUAUCGGGGGUGCCGUGAAUUUGACAUGAGCGGUCGAGUAUGCGGUCCAGACUAGACGGGCCCGGAUUGUUUCUUUUGAAUGGCUUUUUCCGCUGACUGGACUUAGAGCCACUGAAUCCGGCAUUGACGGCCGUGUCUUCGGCGUUAUCGCCAUUGUUGCGACGCUUAUGUCUGUUGCAUUGGGGCUUGCCAUUAUUAUCUCUGGCAUUUGAGGUGCCAGGAUUUCUUGAUGUGCUGUUGCUGCGAGCCAGCCAGCUAUCCUCGCCUGCACAAAAGCGGGUCAUGAGUGUCGUGAGGGCUGCCAUGGACUUCGACUUCUCUUGGACGAGGUGUCGGGCAAGCCACUCGUCAUGGAUGUUAUGCUUAAAGGCCGCUAGGGCUUUGGCAUCCGGACAGUCGACAAUUUGGUUCUUUUUAGUUAGGAACCGAGUCCAGAAUUUCCUGGCUGACUCUCCGGGCUGUUGGGUUAUGUGACUUAAAUCAUCAGCAUCCGGUGGUCGCACAUAAGUGCCCUGGAAGUUAUCCAGGAAAGCGUCUUCCAGGUUCUCCCAACUUCCAAUGGAGUUUGCCGGCAAACUAUUCAGCCAAUGCCGAGCCGGUCCCUUGAGUUUUAGUGGGAGGUACUUGAUGGCAUGUAGAUCGUCGCCGCGGGCCAUGUGAAUGUGGAGAAGGAAAUCUUCUAGCCAUACCGCGGGGUCUGUAGUCCCAUCGUAGGGCUCGAUAUUCACGGGCUUAAACCCUUCUGGGAAUUCAUGCUCCAUUACUUCGUCAGUGAAGCAUAGGGGGUGUGCGGCUCCUCUAUGUCGGGCUACAUCACGACACAGUUCAAAUGAGUCUGGUCUGUUGUAUUCGGCCCGGCCAGAUUUGCAUUUAGUAUAUCCGGCGUGGCGGUCAUCAUCACGCGUUGGGGCGCGCCCCCGUGAUCCGUAGAUCGAUCUUGACUGUCAUGCUUUGUUUUCGAAUUCGUCUCGCAGGUCAUGCGUGUAGCCCCGGGCCUUCGUGUUUUUGCUUGUUUGGCGACGGGGUGCGGGUUGGUGUUCGGGCUGAUACACCGCUUUGUCUCGGCCACGAGGUGGCCGGUCAGCCGCAUCCUGCGCUGGUAGUGCAUGCUCUGGUGCCUCCUCCUCGAAUUGAGGUAACAACUUGCGCUUUGGGUAACUUUUGGUUGGGCGCUCGAGUCCGUAUUCCUCGGCUGCCAGGACCUCAGUCCAUCUAUCAGUUAGCAGAUCUUGAUCAGCUUGAAGCUGCUGCUGCUUUUUCUUCAGGCUUUUUGCAGUGGCUAUAAGCCGGCGCUUGAAGCGCUCCUGCUCGACGGGAUCCUCAGGCACGAUAAAUUCUUCGUCGCCGAGGCUCACCUCGUCUUUGGAGAGGGGCAUGUAAUUGUCAUCCUAUGAUUCUCCAUCCAUUGCCUGUUCCUCAGGGCUAGCUUGCCCAUCCUCCCAUUCGGCCGGCUCGAAGCUUGGUUGGGCGGGAUUGUUUUCGUCUUCGGCAUUAUCCGGAGUGUUAUUGUCUCUUGUGCCGGCAUCGCUAUCUUUGCUAUGGCGGGGCUUAGAGCGGCGCCGCUGACGACGACGCUUAGAUUGCUUCGCAGGGGGGUUAUCCUCCGUUGCCUCAUCGCCAUUGCUUUCUUUGGGUGUGUCCACCAUAUAUAUAUAUAUCAUAUGAUGAGGUGGCUGUCUAGCGCCCUGUGGGCGGUGGUUCCUGUUCUUCUCCGGCAUCGUUGUCCAUACCGUCGAUGUCUUCGGAGUCGAAAUCAAGCAUGUCGGUUAAGUCGUCGAAAGUGGCUAUUAAGUGGGUGGUGGGUGGGAAACGAAUUUCUUCGUCGUCCGCUUCCCACUCAAGCCGGACAUAGUUCGACAAGGAGUCUCCUGACAGGGAGAGAGAUUUUAAUGAAUUUAGCAUGUCGCCCAAGGGGGAGGGCUGAAAGAUAUCCGCGAAGGUAAACUCCAGGAUCGAUGCCCAAUCAGGUUCGAUAGGCAUGGAUGCGAGCGGUUCAGAGCCUAUGGCCGGAGACGAGUCCGAGGGUCCGAUGACACAGACCUUAUUGGAGGUGAAUUCUGUGAUCGGCUCUACCGCCGAUGAGUGUGCGGCCUCCGCAGCGGGGUCUAUCCACCCGUCCUCGGAUGACACGAUCUGCUCCGAAUCUAAGGCUAGGGCAGUUGCAGGUGCGUUCUCCUGAACACCGUCCGAUGGCAGGUCUAAGCCAUGCUCAUCGUGACCGUACGACUCUCCUGUCAUGGGUUUGAAUCCGUCAAAGAUCAAGUCUCCGCGGAUGUCGGCCAUGUAGUUCAGGCUUCCCAACCUGACCUGAUGGCCAGGGGCGUAGCUAUCGAUCUGCUCCAGAUGGCCAAGAGAGUUGGUCCGCAGGUGAAGCCGCCGAAUACGAAGAUUUGUCCAAGGAGGAAAACCUCACCCUGGACCGCAUCGUUGUGGACGAUUGAAGGAGCCAUCAAGCCUUAUCGUGACGACACAGUGGAACUCUCAAUGAAAGCACCAAUGUCGGUGUCAAAACCGGUGGAUCUCGGGUAGGGGGUCCAGAACUGUGCGUCUAAGGCUAAUGGUAACAUGAGGCGGGGGACACAAUGUUUACCCAGGUUCGGGCCCUCUCUAUGGAUGUAAUACCCUACUUCCUUCUUGAUUGAUCUUGAUGAUAUGAGUAUUACAAGAGUUGAUCUACCACGAGAUCGUAGAGGCUAAACCCUAGAAGCUAGCCUAUAGUUGCGAUAUUGUUGUCAUAUGCAGUAAACCCUCCGGUUUAGUCCCACCCGGACACGGGACAAAGUCUUCAAUCUUGUAUCUUCAUAGUCCAACAGUCCGGCACAAGUACAUAGUCCGGCUGUCCGAGUACCCCCUAAUCCAGGACUCCCUCAGCCAUGAAAUCUGAGAUGGGAUCCAUGUAUGAGAACAAAGUGUGGACUUUGGUUGACUUGCCCGAUGAUCGGCAAGCCAUCGAGAAUAAAUGGAUCUUCAAGAAGAAGACUGACGCUGAUGGUAAUGUUACUAUCUACAAAGCUCGACUUGUUGUGAAAGGUUUUCAACAAGUUCAAGGGGUUGACUACGAUGAGACUUUCUCACCUGUAGCGAUGCUUAAGUCUGUCCGAAUCAUGUUAGCAAUUGCCGCAUUUUAUGAUUAUGAAAUUUGGCAAAUGGAUGUCAAAACUGCAUUCCUGAAUGGAUUUCUGGAAGAAGAGUUGUAUAUGAUGCAACCAGAAGGUUUUAUCGAUCUGAAAGGUGCUAACAAAGUGUGCAAGCUCCAACAAUCCAUUUAUGGACUGGUGCAAGCCUCUCGGAGUUGGAUUAAACGCUUUGAUAGUGUGAUCAAAGCAUAUGGUUUUAUACAGACUUUUGGAGAAGCCUGUAUUAACAAGAAAGUUAGUGGGAGCUCUGUAGCAUUUCUGAUAUUAUAUGUGGAUGACAUAUUGUUGAUUGGAAAUGAUAUAGAAUUUCUGGAUAGCAUAAAAGGAUACUUGAAUAAAAGUUUUUCAAUGAAAGACCUCGGUGAAGCUGCUUAUAUAUUGGGCAUCAAGAUCUGUAGAUAGAUCAAGAUGGUUAAUUGGACUUUCACAAAGUACAUACCUUGAUAAAGUUUUGAAAAAAUUCAAAAUGGAUCAAGCAAAGAAAGGGUUCUUGCCUGUAAUACAAGGUGUGAAGUUGAGUCAGACUCAAUGCCCGACCACUGCAGAAGAUAGAGAGAAAAUGAAAGAUGUUCCCUAUGCUUCAGCCAUAGGCUCUUUCAUGUAUGCAAUGCUGUGUACCCAGACCUGAUGUGUGCCUUGCUAUUAGUUUAGAAGGGAGGUACCAAAGUAAUCCAGGAGUGGAUCACUGGACAGCGGGAAAGAACAUCCCGAAGUACCUAAAAAGGACUAAGGAUAUGUUUCUCGUUUAUGGAGGUGACAAAGAGCUAGUCGUAAAUGGUUACGUCGAUGCAAGCUUUGACACUGAUCUGAACGAUUCUAAAUCACAAACCGGAUACGUGUUUAUAUUGAACGGUGGAGCUGUCAGUUGGUGUAGUUCUAAACAAAGCGUCGUGGCGGGAUCUACGUGUGAAGCGGAGUACAUAGCUGCUUCAGAAGCAGCAAAUGAAGGAGUCUGGAUGAAGGAGUUCAUAUCCGAUCUAGGUGUCAUACCUAGUGCAUCAGGUCUAAUGAAAAUCUUUUGUGACAAUACUGGUGCAAUUGCCUUGGCAAAGGAAUCCAGAUUUCACAAGAGAACCAAGCACAUCAAGAGACGCUUUAAUUCCAUCCGGGACCAAGUCCAGGUGGGACACAUAGAGAUUUGGAAGAUACAUACGGAUCUGAAUGUUGCAGACCCGUUGACUAAGCCUCUUCCACGAGCAAAACAUGGUCGACACCAAGACUCCAUGGGUGUUAGAAUCAUUACUGUGUAAUCUAGAUUAUUGACUCUAGUGCAAGUGGGAGACUGAAGGAAAUAUGCCCUAGAGGCAAUAAUAAAGUUAUUAUUUAUUUUCUCAUAUCAUGAUAAAUGUUUAUUAUUCAUGCUAGAAUUGUAUUAACCGGAAACAUAAUACAUGUGUGAAUAUAUAGACAAACAUAGUGUCACUAGUAUGCUUCUACUUGACUAGCUCAUUGAUCAAAGGUGGUUGAGUUUCCUAACCAUAGAUAUGAGUUAUCAUUUGAUCAAUGGGAUCACAUCAUUAGAAGAAUGAUGUGAUUAACUUGACCCAUUCCGUUAGCUUAGCACUUGAUCGUUUAGUAUGUUGCUAUUGCUUUCUUCAUGACUUAUGCAUGUUCCUUUGACUAUGAGAUUAUGUAACUCCCGCUUACCGGAGGAACACUUUGUGUGCUACCAAAUGUCACAACGUAACUGGGUGAUUAUAAAGGUGCUCUACAGGUGUCUCCGAAGGUACUUGUUGAGUUUACAUAUUUCGAGAUUAGGGUUUGUCACUCCGAUUGUCGGAGAGGUAUCUCUGGGCCCUCUCGGUAAUGCACAUCACUAUAAGCCUUGCAAGCAAUGUAGCUAAUGUGUUAGUUGCGGGAUGAUGCAUUACAUAAUGAGUAAAGAGACUUGCCGGUAACGAGAUUGAACUAGGUAUUGAGAUACCGACGAUCGAAUCUCAGGCAAGUAACAUACCGAUGACAAAGGGAACAACGUAUGUAGUUAUGCGGUUCGACUGGUAAAGAUCUUCGUAGAAUAUGUGGGAACCAAUAUGAGCAUCCAGGUUCCGCUAUUGGUUAUUGACCGGAGACGUGUCUCGGUCAUGUCUACAUAGUUGUCGAACCCUUAGGGUCCGCACGCUUAAAGUUUGGUGACGAUCGGUAUAUUGAGUUUUUGUGUUUUGAUGUACCGAAGGUAGUUCGGAGUCCCGGAUAUGAUCACGGACAUGACGAGGAGUCUCGAAAUGGUCGAGACGUAAAGAUUGAUAUAUUGGAUGACUAUGUACGGACACCGGAAGUGUUUCGGGAGGUUUCAGUCAUUUACCGGAGUACGGGGGGUUACUGGAACCCCCCGGGUAGUAUAUUGGGCCUAAUGGGCCUUGGUGGGAGAAGAGGAGGGGCGGCCAGGGCAGCCGCACGCCCCUCCCCCUCUAGUCCGAAUUGGACAAGGAGGGGGGGGCGUCCCCCUUCUUUCCUUCUCCUCCUCUCUCCCUUCCUUCCCUUCUCCUACUCCAACAAGGAAAGGUGGAGUCGGGAGUAGGACUCCCCCCAUGGCACACCCUCCUCCUAUCCGGCUGCCUCCCCCCUUGCUCCUUUAUAUACGGGGGCAGGGGGCACCUCUAGACAGGCAAGUUGAUCUGUUGAUCUCUCCCAGCCGUUUGCGGUGUCCCCCUCCACCAUAUUCCACCUUGGUAAUAUUGUAGCUGUGCUUAGGCGAAGCCUUGCGUCAGUAGCAUCAUCAACACCGUCAUCACGCUGUCAUGCUGACGGAACUCUCCCGCAAAGCUCUGCUGGAUCGGAGUUCGUGGGACGUCAUCGAGCUGAACGUGUGCUGAACUCGGAGGUGCCGUACGUUCGGUACUUGGAUCGGUCGGGUCGUGAAGACGUACGACUAUAUCAACCGCGUUGUGCUAACUCUUCCGCUUACAGUCUACGAGGGUACGUGGACGACACUCUCCCCUCUCGUUGCUAUGCAUCACCAUGAUCUUGCGUGUGCGUAGGAAAAUUUUGAAAUUACUAUGUUCCCCAACAUAUUUCACGUCAAUGCGGACCAGGGCCCUUCUCCUCGCUUUGUUGCCAUCAGUGGGAGGCUGCAGCCAGUGUCAUGUGGGAGGUUGUUGUCAAUGUUGGCCAACCAACAUGUAUUGCUUCCAGAAUUGGGUACAAUAUAUUUCAAUAAUAUUUAAUUGUAUAAAACAUGAAUAUUUGGAUUAACAAUAUGAGAACUGAAACUAAGAAUACAUAUGAUUUAUUGUAUUUGAUUACCGUGUCGUUAUAAAAUAAUUAUUGAAUAUAAGUGGUAUAAUCAUUUUUAAUACGCACAAUUGCAUGUUAAGUGAGCUUUUCCCCUAUGCAUGGUUGUACAUUGAUGUAGUAUGUUUGCAUGUUGAGAAAUAUCUUAGUAAUAAUAAUCUAUUAACUUAUAUACAUGAUAUGUCAUUUUUCCUUUGCCCAUUUCUUUCCCUUCCGUGCCUCUACCGUACCUUUAGCCCAUUAUGUUGAGUGGUCCUUCUAGUGCUCAUACCACAAGUCCCGUCAAUUUAUAACUCUUGGCCGAACUUUCCUUUUUGGUUACUUUGAGAAGUUAUAGUGCCAAAUUUUGAGAAUUCUAAGGCAAAAUUUUAGAACUUUGAACUUUCAGAAAAUUUGAAACUUUCAAAAGCUCUCAAUUCAAAUUUUAAUAAAAUUUAGAACUUUUCGAAUUCAAAACUUUCAUAGCAUUCAAGGAAAUGUCUAAACUUCCUAAAAAAACAUCUUUCACAAAUUUCCAAACUACAUUUUUUUGGAAUUUCCGUUAAAGAAAAACAUAGUGAAAAUGUUUCACAUGUGCAANNNNNNNNNNNNNNNNNNNNNNNNNNNNNNNNNNNNNNNNNNNNNNNNNNNNNNNNNNNNNNNNNNNNNNNNNNNNNNNNNNNNNNNNNNNNNNNNNNNNNNNNNNNNNNNNNNNNNNNNNNNNNNNNNNNNNNNNNNNNNNNNNNNNNNNNNNNNNNNNNNNNNNNNNNNNNNNNNNNNNNNNNNNNNNNNNNNNNNNNNNNNNNNNNNNNNNNNNNNNNNNNNNNNNNNNNNNNNNNNNNNNNNNNNNNNNNNNNNNNNNNNNNAUGCUGUAUGUCCGCUACACGCAUGAGCUCACCCUUAGUGUGUGUUGUCCAAAUUAGAUAUUGGUUUACUGUCUAUCUGCAUAUCAAAAGACUGGCAUAUAAUAUUUUCUUUCAAGCUUUUCAGUUGUUUUUUCUUAUUUUUGGAUAGUCGUUUAAUAUAAUGUUGCACCUUAACUAUAUGUAAGUCGCCUUAAUUUUAUGUUUGGGUCAGUCGAUUACUUGCCCAUUAAUUCUAGCUCUCAAAAUCGUGCUGUUUUUGGACUACUUUGUGAGCUGGUUGCUACUUUUUUUACUGACCGCAUAUUUGGUCAGUCGAUUUGCUACUGGGCUGAAGCCCAUUACCUGUACUGCCCAGCUCAUCCCUCUUUCCCUUUAUUAUUUCUUCUGUCUUUCCUAUUUUUAUGUGUUUUCCCUUUUUUGUUUGCUUUUAUUUAUUAGUUUGUCUAUUUUAUUUUAUUUCGUAGGUAUUUUGGGAUGUUGGGUGAGUGUAAAUGUACACACACACAAUUACUAUGUAAUAUGUGCAAUACACUAUUAUAGUGCAAAGUCAUGUGCACAUUUUUUUAACUUUUCAUUAUCUUUAUUCAUAAAGAUUAAUACCAAUGGCAGUAAUUAAUUAUUCCUUAUAAAACUUCAUUAAUUUGAUAUAGUUAUUAUUCAUUUUAUUCCUUCUUUUGGGAUAAUACCAAUGCCACUAAUUCAUUCAUGCUUAGUAACCUUUUUUGCGAAAAUUUCACAAUUAUAUGCUUAUUCUUGCAUAUUUUUAAAAGCAAAAUUUUUGUUUAUAUUGUGUGCAAUUUUGUCAAAACCUUUGUUUUACUUUUAUUUUUCAUUUUCCUUCUUCUUAAAGCAUAAUAGCAAUGUCACCAAUUCAUUAUUCGUUCGAAAACCUCAUUAUUUGAUUUUGUUUUUAUUUUAUUUUAUUUUCUUUCUUCUUGAAGGGUAAUACAAAUGCCAAUAAUUCAAUUUUCCAUAUAAAACUUCAUUGUUUUGUUUUUGUUUAUUUUUUAAUUUUAUUUGUUAUUAAAGGGUAAUAAUGAUGCCACUAACUCAUUGUUAACUAAAAAAUUCAGUUUGUUGGUUUUCUUGUAGGUUUUUUUUAGUAUUAGUAUAGGGGGGAGGGUAGAGAAAGAAGAAGGUGCCUCAGCCUUUGAUUCUUGAUCGGUUGGUGGGGAGUGCUGGAGAAUAUUUAACUGAACACCAAAAAAAAAA
rnacentral:lncRNA from 1 species